rnacentral:lncRNA from 1 species
UUCCAAUGCAGAUGCAACAUCUAUCAUUAUGUUCAACCUUUGUAGGAUAUCCAAAUAUUGGGUGUUGGAAUACAACCAUUUAUCAAGACUCCCAUUAGGCAUGAACUCAAGCACCAACGCUUUGAAAUUAAGAUCAUUAGAGCAACUACUUAUUACUUUGACUAAAUUUCUGUGACGAGUGUUGCGGAGAACAUCACAUUCAACAUCAAAGCUCUUAAAAGCUCUUUCUAACUCUAACUUGAAGACCUUUACCGCGAUGAUCGUCCCAUCCCGGAGAAUCCCUUGGAAUACUGAACCAUAACUUCCAUUACCAAGCAACCUACUAUCUUUGAAUCUAUCAUUAGCUUGUCGAAGCUCGUGGUAUGAAAACCGUCUCCACGUUCCUAAAGGUAUCAUGUCUUCUUGAGUUGGCAAUUUGUCUUUCCUCCUCCUAUUAUGCAAGAUAAUGAUUAUCAGAGCCACAACCAAAAUUGUGGAGGCAGUUGGCAGAGCUACAUAUAUUAUGAGUUUCAGCUUAGUUUUUGCCUUGGAAUUUCUAAGAGGUCUAGUUUUGCAGUUUGGAACAUGAAGUCGAGUUGCACCACACAAGGCUUCAUUCCCCUUAAAUGAUUCGAUUGUGUAGUUUCCAAAUGAUCCUCCAGGAAUUUCUCCUUCAAGUCUAUUAAAAGAGACAUUGAAAUAUUUGAGAUAACGGAGUUUCUCUAAGGAUUUGGGAAUCUCUCCAGAUAGAUUAUUUCUUGACAAGUCCAAGAAUUCCAAACUCAAUAAUUCAUCAAAAGACUCAGGAAUAGAACCCAUGAUUUUAUUAUUGGAUAAGGAAAAAUGAGUGAGGUCCUUGAGAUCUGUAACUCCAGUUGGGAUAUCACCUGAGAACUGAUUGUUCGACAAAUCCAAACUAGUCAAAACUUUCCAUUUUCCAGUGUCAAUUGGCAGUGGACCACUUAGAGAAUUUGAAGACAAGUAUAGGAUGAGGAGAUUGUUAAGCCUUGUCAACGUGGAAGGUAUUGAGGAGGAGAACAUAUUGGAGUCGAGAAAUAGUUUCCUUAAUGAAGCAAGAUCACCUAGGCAAGCAGGUAUUGGUCCAGACAAUUUGUUACUGGUCAAGAACAAGAAAGCCAAUUUGUUUAGAUGACAUAACUCAGAUGGGAUGGAUCCUUCCAACUUAUUGUUUUCAAGAGAAAGACUUUGCAAGUCUUCCAAUACACCAAUUGUAGUAGGAAUCUGUCCUAUCAAUUUAUUGCCUCCGAGCUCAAUGUUUAUCAAGUGGCUUAAGUUUCCAAUUUCACUGGGGAUGCUACCUCUGAUGUUGCAUGAAUAAGCAGAGAACCGUUCAAGAGAACUUGAGAGAUUUCCUACCAGUCUUGGAAGUUCACCACUAAUAAGUGGGUUGAUACCGAAAAGAAUCUUCUCCAAGACUCUACAGUUUGUCAAGGAAAAGAGAAAGCUCAUUCUUGAGGAAGUUAAAUUAUUAUUCUCCAGGUUGAGAAUCUUUAAAUUUCUUAGAUUUCCCAGAUUAUCAGGAAUGGACCGUAAAAAGUAAUUACUAGACAUGACAAGAAGAGUAAGCUGAGAGGCAUUGGAAAUAUACAUUGGGAACGAGCCGACAAGGUGAUUCAAACCAAGAUAUAAUUUCUCCAUGUUUGGAAGGAAAAGGCCCAUGUUUGAUGGAAGAUGGCCAGAGAGUUGAUUUGUUUCCAAAGAAAUUAUCGUUAGAGUUGAAAUAUUAAAUACUUGUGGAGGAAUAGAACCAGCAAUAUUGUUAGAUGUUAUAGUCAACACUUUUAGAUUCUUUAGGUUGCCAAUCUCAUGUGGUAUUAUACCUGCCAUAAAUUUUACCAAACAAAAAUAUUAGACAAAUAUGGGGAAGGAAAGAGUUUAUAUAUAUUUUAAACAUUAUAAAAAAUUUAAAUUAAAUUAUCUAACAAUGUGUACAAUUAUGUCAAUUAGUUUUUAUAGAGCUCUUUCAAAUAUCAAAGUACUUCAAGUAAUUUUAAAUUGAAAUUUUUAGGUCUAAAGUCGGAACAAGUUAAAAAUAUAGAAAAUAGUGAUGAAUUAAAUCAUUAAGAACAAACAUUCACAAGUUUAAGAAAAUGAAAAUAGAUAUUAUUUUUCUUUUAUCUGAUUUGAUAAGUUUAUUGUUCUAAGAACAUAAAAAAAAAUAAAAAAAAAAGGAAAAAGAAGAAAUAUACUAUUCGCAAUGACUGAAAAUUUUUAUAAUUAUUGUAAAAUAAUGAAAACACUAAAAGUCGUUGAGCAAAAUAAAGUUCAAAACACAUAAUGCUACCUAUACUAAUAGAAAUUAAACCUAUCAGUAAAAGUUGCAAAUUAAUAAAAAUAGUUUGGAAAUAAUCACUAGUAUUUCACAUCCUAUUUCUCUCAUCAUUUUCUCGUAGUUUAUUAGUUUAUUCUUCAAUCUUCUUUUGAAAAUUUUCAUUUAAUAAAUAAAUUUAUAUUUUCAAUCUCAAUACAAGAUUCAUCUAAAUUAUUAUAUUCAUUAACUAAUGGUUAGCAUAUAUUACCUUCAAAGUGAUUCCGACCAAUAUAGAUGUAUUGAAGCAUACUCAAAUUCCCAAUUUCUAUUGGUAGGCUCCCCUCCAUUUGGUUAUACGAUAGAGAUAACAUUUGUAACUCUUUGCACUUGAAUAGGCUGGCAGGAAUUCUACCAGAAAGCUGGUUAAAACUCAAGUACAAUUCUUUGAAAUUUGGAAGAUGACCAAACAUAUCUUUUGGGAUAUGACCACUGAGAUUAUUGGAGGUGAAAUCGAUGACUUCUAGCAAAAACAAAUCUCGUGGAACAAAGGGUAUGAAACCAGAGAGCAUAUUAUCGCUUAGAUCAAUUAUUUGCAACGAAGAUAUAUUAAAGAUGGAGGAGGGUAUUGAACCUGAAAUCCGGUUUUCAGACAAGACCAAGAUCUGUAGCUUUGACAAAUAGCCUAAAGAGAAUGGAAUAACACCUUUGAAGUUGUUGUGGUACAGAGACAUCCCUCCAAGUUCAGUUAAUGAUCCCAACCAUGAAGGGAUUUCUCCACUGAAGUAGUUACUACCAAAGCUUAGAUAUUUCAGCCGAUGCAAAUUGGAUAACUGGACUGGUAAUCUGCCAUAGAAACUAUUGUUUGUGAUACGAAGAAGAGAAAGGAAUGAUAAAUUUCCUAAGUGAGGUGGAAGGGUGCCUACGAGUCCCAACCCAGUAAGGUUUAGAGCUGUGACUCUACGGUGCUUGGAUCCACAACUUACACCAAACCAAUUGCAAACAGGGGCAGAGGCUGACCAGUUAGUUGUCAAGACAUUUUCAGGAUCAUGAAUAACAUGAUCUUUUAGUGCUAAAAGAGCUGAUUGAUCUGUAAGUAUGGUGGUUAAUUUCAUAGAGAAAGUAGGCAUAGAAAAAUGGAAGAUGAUAAGAAGAGCUAAGUUGAGGAAAGUAUUCCCCAUUUGAAUUUGGGUGUUUAUCAAGCUACCAACAAAGGCAGAACUGAGAUUGCUAGACAGAUAAUUGAAUGACCACACAACUUCUUUUACAUAAUAUGUGUGUAUAUAUAAAGGGGAGCUUAUGUUGCAAUUUCUUCUUGCAAGAUUGCAAAUUCUUUUAAUGUGAUUUACGUAGAAACUAUGGAAUUUAUUAUAGGAUGUGAUAAUAUAAUUAUGUAAUUAUUGCUUAAGAAACUUCUUUCUAAAUUUCUUUUAAUUCUUAAGAAAUUUCAGGAAAUAAUAUAUAGUGUCGAAACCAUUUUUAAAUCGAGUUUUGGAAAUUGGGAAUCGACUUUAAGAAAAACGAAAAUGGGAGUCGCCACCAAUCUUUUUAGGUGUGAUUGGAUCACCUUAUAAAAUGUUUUGUUUUAAAACAUUAAUUUUGGUCUACGAAAGUCGAGAAAACGGAUUCGGGAGUCGGUUACGUACGAGGAAGGGUUAGCACCCUCGUAAUGCCCAAAAAUUGGUACCUAAUUGAUUAUCAAGUGUCUUUAAUGUCGGAAAUUUGAAAGUUUUAAGAUGCAAACCUCUUUUAAUUAGAAUGUCUCAAUUUUGAAAAUUAAGGCUUACUUAUUUCAAACGAGUCAAAACAUCACAUCCAGUAAGUUAGGAUGCAAAAUUUUAAAACCUUCGUACUAAGCUCGUCUUUCGAAAAUUUCUAUCUCGAAACAACAAAACGCCAUAUCCAAUAAGUUAGGACACUAUGUUUUGAAAUCUCGAAAUAAUUGUUUAAGUUUUGAAAACUCAAAAUCACUUAGAAGGGUGCUUGACUAUUCGAAUUCAACGAGAAAAGUCGCAACCAGUAAGUUAGGGCACUACCUUUCUCGAAGUUUCCAAACAUCAAGCAUUUCCUUUUAUUUUUUUUAAAAAAAACCUUGGAAUAUUAUUUUAAAUAACGUUUUAGGAUGACAUAUUAAUGCAUCAUAAAGCAUAGAUUUACAAAAUAUUCUAACAUUUCCAUACAAACAUAAAUAAUAUCAUUAAGACAAAACUAAAUAACAUGAACUUACGUUUAAUAAAAAAAAUCAUACUAGGAUAAAUAUAAGAUAAUAAACAAAUAAAAACAUGAGUAAACUAAAAGAAAAACAUAAUACAUGCAAAAAAAUUAUACAACAAUAUAUCAUAAAAUAGCACAUAAAAGAAAUAAUUAAACAUAGCAUAUAAAAAAUGAAACUAUGCACAAAUAAGAUAAAUGACAUACACUAAAAAAAUGAAUAAAUAGAACAUUUACAAAUUAUAAAAAUAUAAUGCAAUAGUUCAAAAUACAUGAAAUGAUAAUGUAAUAUAUAUACAUGCAUAGAAAAUAUAUAUUUGAAAAAAACUAUAUAAAAAGGUUAAAUAUUAUAAUAUAUAAAAUACAUAAUAAAAUGUAUAAAAGAUAGGAAUAAAUAUACAUAUUUGAAAAAUGAAGAAAUUAAAAUAAAAAAAGGGUUGAAAAACUAAGAUAGACGAAGAAUAAAAUAAGAACAAACCACAGAGAGUAAGAACGCAAGAGGGAGAGAAUUUUGAGUGAAUGCUCUCAAGAAUUCUUAUUGCUUCCCAAAACUCAAGUGAUUUACAAUGAAGGGAGAGACCUCUAUUUAUAGUUGAGCCUCCCCAAAUCCAACGGUACAGAUCAAUUACAUCAACGGUUAAGAUUAAAGGAUAUCUACAAAUUAAAUCUCCAAGAUUACAAGAUCAUAUCUUCAAGAUUGCAUAUCAUAUCUAAGAUUGUAUCAUGUCUAAGAUUGCAUAUCAUAUCUAAGAUUGCAUAUCCUUAAAGAUUAUAUUUCCAUAUGAGUCAAGCUUAUAGAUGGACCUUAAAUCUUUUCAAGUAAUGGGCGAUUCCGAUUGGGCCAAAUUAUAUGUUUGUAAUUUUGUAUUGGACUUGGACUUUGUUUUAUUUUUAUUUUUUUGGGGGUUUAUUAUUUUAAAUACUGAAAUGGGCCGGGCAAAAUUGAGUGUCUACAACUACCCCUCUUUGCUCAUUGCUGUGUAACAGGAAUAGACCAAAAACUAUAAAAUGACCAAUUUUGCCCGGGCUCGCCGAGUCUCGAGUUCUUGAUCUUUGAUCUUCUUUCAAUGGCCUCUUGAUGGCUUCAAUUUGCUUCACUGCAACUCAGGAAGGCGAUAUCUGUUAUCUUUGACCUGCUCCCCGUCUACUACAGAGACGCCAAAUCUGUUAUCUUCGAUCUGCUCCCCGUCUAAUACAGAGACGCCAAAUUUGCUUCUUCAAUCUGCUCCUUGCAAACUCAUGACUGUCAUGUUGAUAUCUUCGAUCUGCUCUCCGUCGAACACAGAGACGCCAAAUUUGCUUCUUCAAUUUGUUCCCUGGCAAUACAGAGAUGCCAAAUCAUCUUAGAUUUGCUUUAGCGUAAACACGUGAAAGCCAAAUCUACUAUGUCUUCGAUUUGUUCCUUGUAAACACAAGGAUGCCAAAUCAUCUUGGAUCUGCUUCAAUAUAAACAUCUGAAGGUUAGAUCUGCUAUGUGUCUUCUCUCCGUCAAAUAUAGAGACGCCAGAUCUGUUAUCUUGGAUCUGCUUUGAUGUGAAAACAUCUGAAAGUCAGAUCUUCUAUGUCUUCGAUUUGCUCCUUGUAAACACAAGAAUGCCAAAUCAUCUUGGAUCUGCUUCAGUAUAAACACCUGAAGGUCAGAUCUGCUAUGUCUUCGAUUUGCUCCUUGUAAACACAAGAAUGCCAAAUCAUCUUGGAUCUGCUUCGAUGUGAAAACAUCCAAAUGUCAGAUCUGCUAUGUCUUCGAUUUGCUCCUUGUAAACACAAGAAUGCCAAAUCAUCUUGGAUCUGCUUUGAUGUGAAAACAUCCAAAGGUCAGAUCUACUAUGUCUUCAAUUUGUUUCUUGUAAACACAAGAAUGCCAAAUCAUCUUAGAUCUACUUCGAUGUGAAAACAUCCAAAGGUCAGAUCUGCUAUGUCUUCGAUCUGCUCUCCGUCGAAUAUGGAGAUGCCAAAUAUGUUUCUUCGAUUUACUCUCUGACAAUACAGAGAUGUCAAAUCAUCUUGGAUCUACUUCAGCGUGAACACCUGAAGGCCAGAUCUGCUAUACUUUAACCUGUUAGCCUACUGCUUAGGGGGUUAAGGCGUAUCUUCGACCUGUUACCCUACUGCUUAGGAGAUUAAGGCGGGUCUUAGAUCUGCUCCACUACUGCUUAGGGAGAUAAGAUCUGCAAAUUUAACCUGUUACCUUACUGCUUAGGGGAUUAAGGUGAGUCGUCGUCGAUCUGCUCCGCUACUGCUUAGGGAGAUAAGAUUUGCGAACCUGUUACCCUACUGCUUAGGGGAUUAAGGUGCAUCGUCUUCGAUCUACUCCACUACUGUUUAGGGAGAUAAGAUCUGCAAAUUUAACCUGUUACCCUACCGCUUAGGGGAUUAAGGUGAGUAUUUGAUCUGCUCCACUACUGCUUAGGGAGAUAAGAUCUGCAAAUUUAACCUGUUACCCUACUGCUUAGGGGAUUAAGGCGAGUCUUCGAUCUGCUCCACUACUACUUAGGGAGAUAAGAUCUGCAAAUUUAACCUGUUACUCUACUGCUUAGGGAUUAAGGCGAGUCUUCGAUCUGCUCCACUACUGCUUAGGGAGAUAAGAUCUACAAAUUUAACCUGUUACCCUACUGCUUAGGGGAUUAAUGUGAGUCUUCGAUCUGCUCCACUACUGCUUAGGGAGAUAAGAUCUGUAAAUUUAACCUGUUACCCUAUUGCUUAGGGGAUUAAGGUGCUGAAUUUUGUAAUUUUCAAUCAAUCUUGCUACAUUGUCCACUGGGGAAUCCAACUGUAGAAUUAAUUUCCUGAAAUUUAUGCUUAUGCCAAAUAAUUAAGAUGCCAUGAUCGAAAUGAGUCAAAUGCUCCUAAUUAGACAUAUUAUGAUGCAAAAUGUUUAUAAAAAUAACUCCUGUUUCGGACGUCAUCAUUCAUUCAUCUAUCGAGCUUUCCACCUCGUUCUUCUCGACAUAUCAAUCAUACUCUGCUCGUAUGCCUCGAAUCUUCUCCAUCAAUUUGGUCUACCGUACCAUUCCCCGAAUGUUACGACCCACUGAAGAUGUUUAUGAAAUGAUCCUUUCUUAAGAUCAAUAUUGCUUAAAACGUCCAACCACCUUGUGGGCUGAAGAAGAAAAUCUCUCGAGUAUCUCCAACCCAUACAUAUGAGAAUUCCUUAAACAAUUGUCUUGUUUCAGUUUCUUGUAUUAUCUAGAAAUUUCCAGAGUAAUAUGCAAAACUUCAAUUGUGAAUAUAUUUUAGUUCAUCUAUUAUUAUUUCAAUGCAACAUGCUUUAUGAAUAAUGGGAGACAAAUAAAUUGAUCCUGAGGAUAAUUAGAUUUGGACAAAUUAUUGGAAGGAAUACAAAAAGAUUAACUUGAGAACAUAUCUUUGCGAAGAAAAAGAAUCCAAAGAUAAUAAAUAGGAAAGAAAUCAGAUGCCCCAGAUAUCGCCGCUUGAGCGUCUAUACACCAGCUCCAUGAAGACUUUCUUGAGUUCAACAUGUGUUUAAAAUAUCCAAAGUAAUUCGUUGAUGCCUCGAUAUGUAACAUACUUCACUUCUCGUCGAAUCCGGUAUAGCAAGAUCACUGCAUGACUUUCCAAAUUUGAGCUGCCCUUUCAUGUUUUCAACUCAAAACCCCUUUGGUCUCAAUGCGCCCUUUGCGGGUUUUCACCUUGGCCUCUCCAUUUUUUAUUUUUUAUUUUUUAUUUUUUAUUUUUUAUUUUUUAUUUUUUAUUUUUUCUCUUUUUUAUUUUUAUUUUUUUCUUUUUCUUUUCUUUUUUCUUUUUUUUUUGAAAUAGAAGUCCCAAAGUGCCCUUUGCGGGUUUUCACCUUGGCUUCCCUUCUCCUUCAGACAAAGUACUCCUUAACCGAGUCUGAAUUCACUGGAUCAGAUAAAUUCUUCCUAUCCAUUUCUUGUCAAAAUCAGUGCACCUCUAGAGAAAGCCCUCUUCGCAACAUAUGGCCCUUCCCAAUUCAGCAUCCUUUUGCAUGGGAAGGAUCUCUUUCAGUACAAGAUUUCCUUUAUGAAAUUCUUUUGAACGACCCUUCUUUGUCAUAAGUCUGUGUCAUCCAUCUUGGUACAUUUUCUUAGGAUGAAUACUUUCAAGUUAAGUUUACUAGAGGUAUUCAAUUCUUGACUCCACCAAAGCUUGGAGGAAAAAUCUUGAUUCAUAAACCCAUGAGAAAGGGAUUACCCCAGUAGUAGUCCUGGCUGUUGUUUGUCAAACCCUACAAAAAGAUGGUUCAAUGAUUCUCAGUAUACAAGAAUGAAGUUGCUGACUUUAUCCUUCAACCUGGAAAGCUGAGGUACAGAGAUUACUCCCGGAGCAUACAUCCCACCAUAACUCGAUGAUGUUUUUGAAACAUCUCUAAUCUUCAUAAAUUGCCCCCAACUGUGAAGCUGCCAAAUGAGCGUAGCAAAUAAGAGCCACAACAAAUAUAGCUGUGGUGCUCUUUUGAUACAUAUAGGAUAGAGAAUGAACAAACUCUUGCAAAUCAUCAGCCGAAAACCCAACCUGGUCUAAGAGAACAUGAUAGUGGGUCUGCCUCGUGAUUCUAAUCAUUCCAGCAUGGGUACCAAGGUAAAAAUCAUUGUUCUUUGGAUGUCAUACUUUGUUGUCAAUGACAGUACCAUGUAGCACAUUUUCAGGAGAUCCCUGCUGGAAAAACUUGGUAUGAUGGUUUUUCGUACAACAAUAACCACAAUCUUUAGGGUUCCACUUCUCGUCAAGGAACUUGCAAGCUUCAACAACUUGAUCAAAAUUUGAUUGAAUUGAGACUCGCUAACCCCAUCCCUGAAAAUAAUAAUUUGAUUAGGUUUCCUCUUCCCUGAACUUGUAUAAAAGUCUAAGAGAGCUUCCUUCAUGAUACCGCCAUCCAAUUUGUCAGAAACUGGUUUUGAAGAAAGAAUCUAUCAUUUUAAGCUUUAGAGACUGUGUACGGCCUGAUGCCCCAUAGCUGGAAAUCAAUGGCCACCGCCUGGAGCUAACCAUCGCAACUAUUGACGGCACAUCAGACUGCUCAGGAAAGCUAAACAAUGCACCCAUUCCAAGGAUGAUGGUUGUAACCUUUGAAACAACUGGAAUUGAAGGUGUUUGCCCAGUAUAAGCAUAGAGAGUAGGCGGUAGUUUCUUAUGCCAAUUUUUACCAGUCUCGGUCAUCUUCUGUAAUUUGUUUUUUCUUCUUUUUUUUUCUUUUGGAAACCUUUGUUGUACUGUGGUAUGGCACAUUAUCUUUGAAAAGACUGCAAACUUUUGGCAUUGUGCAGUUAUAUAUAAUCUUUUUUUUUUUUGAAAUGGAUGGCUUUUGACUUUGUAAUAUUGGCAUAUGAAGCUAUCUCCCCCUCUUAAUGGAGUAUUUGACGUCCAAAAAGAUGAGUCAUUGUCAGCUUGAAACUUUUGACGAGCUCAGGCCCAUAACAUACAUGCCCCAUAAGUCUUGACUCCUUUAAAUUUGGCAUUCAUUGUACAACUGAUGCGAUCCCUUUCCAUGGUGGACCAACAGUGCCCCAAAACCUCAUGUUUAUCCUGGCAAUUGCAAAUCCUCCUGCAUGCGUCUUUGGACCACAUUUUUGAAUUCCCAUAAUAGUCUCAACAAGGUCUUGUUUUGUCUUCUCAGCUAAUUCCAAUUUCGCAAUCUUUCCUUCCUCUAAGGCUAUAUUUCCUACCACCACUUCAUGGGGUAAAAACCAUUUUCAACAAAUUCAGAAAUAAGUCACAAUUUCUGUCAACUUCAAAGUACUGAGAUUCCUCUAAACACAUAUCGCACUCAAAAGGAACUCUGAAUCUGUAGUAUCGUUGCCCGUGUCAUUGAUAUCUAGGGAUCUAUGAUAGGCACAUAAAAGAAUAUACAAGGAAUAAAUGAAUUCAAGAAUGACUAUUUACAUGAAAUGAAAAUUUAUAAAGAAUGUCAAAGGUCAAAAGAAUCAGAAUGAAAUAAUAUAUACUCGGAUAAAUAAUAAAAGUAUGUUUUAUUGAAAAUAAAAAUGUCUGAACAUGAGCCCAAUUCUCAAAAGAAAUCUCAUUACUCCUAGGCUUUAGAGCAACAAGAGUGUUUUGAAUAUUACUCCGUAAAAUUCCUAAAGAUUACAAGAAGUUCUUCUACAGUCCAAUUGUUUAAAGAACUUCCCGGCUUAUAAGGGCGAAUGCCCUCAAGGUUUCUUUGUUUAGUCCCUUCCUCAUGUAUGAUAUUGAUGGGAUGAUUUUCAUUUCUAAACACCCCAUUCUCUAGGUAAGCUAUCACUCCUGACACAAAAGUCAGGGAUAUGUAAGGGAACGUCGUUAAUUCCCAUUCAACUUCUUUUUUACUUAGCCGUGACCCUCUUCUCUCUCUCUCUUUUUCUUUCUCUUUUUAAUAACUUUAACUAAUUAGGGUCUUUCUAUAAUUUUGAAUGCAAAUGAUACAAUGAAAUGCUAUAAGAUGCAAAUGAAUGCAAAAGGUAUCGAUCUCGAUUCAAUCUCAUUUAGAAAACUUUAUUUAGAAAAAGAAUAUCUUUACAUAUAAAUGGAUUACAAAUACGCUUUCGCCUUAAUGCCUAAAGUUUUAACAACAAACUCUUGGCCACGAUCAGAUUGUAGCUCAUAUUGGUGCUCAAUAUGUCAGCCUGUGCCGCCAAUGUCUGUAAAUAAUCAGCUACCUCCUAAGUUUGAGCUACGACCUCACCUGUGGGGUAAUACGUGCAGCUAAGGGCACCUCUUCCAAUACUUGUGAAGUUGUUCUGAUUAUUUUGAGAUAGAUUAGCGAACAGGUAGGUAUCCCGUUCUGCAGUGUGCUACCUUAAAAUAAUAUCCUAUAUCUUCAAUGUUUCUUGAGAGCUUUCAGAUUUCUACCCAUGCAGAGCAUCCUGCCUCAGUACCUUCGCAGCAUAGCUAAUCUCUAAAGGUUUUGUAUGAUACGGUCUUCUUUAAUUGCUUUCUUUCACGCUUACUUGAGCUAUCCAGGCCAUCGGGGCUUGCAUUUCCAUUGUUUCUGAUAAGUACAACAGUAAACUCAAGCUUGUUAUUUGGUAGCGGUCCUAUAGUAAACGAGCUUUUACCAUCAUAGGCAAAAUUCUUUCCAUCCAACUCAUUUUUGUAGGUCUCAUGCACUUUAUCAAUCACUUUCCUUCCAAUACCCUUACCAUCCACAUGGCAACCGUCUUCAUAUGAAAAGAGAAAUGCUAUAAUGUUAGAAGUGUCCAUCAAUACUCCCACACUCACUUUGAAUUGCUCAUCUAUCCUCCUGUCAAGCAAAUAUUGCAAGUCCCCUUAGUUAUUGUAGAACAACUGAUUGGCUUCAUUACUCCAUUGAUCCCAUAUUUCCUUUAACUCCUAGAGAUUAUUUUGCGCCACGCUGAUGCGAGUGUAACCCCAUAAUUCUGAUGUGUAUCCUUCAGCGUUUCUUUUGACCAUUUAUGGACGUUAACGUUGCCCUCCAUUCUAUCAAGAAGUCCGUUCUCCAUAGUAAAACUUUCUAACUUAGAAAUUGACCGUGAAUCAAUACCUUUUGAAUGCAAAAUGACAUGCACAAAAGAAAAAAAACAGUCAGUAUCAUAUGAUAUUAAUAAACACAAAGAUAACCUAAGUAUAAUUCUAUCUAUAUUGAGCUCUUAUGAUUUUUCUAUAUGUGGUUUGGUUCUAAAGUUUGAGGUACCCGAACCAGCAGAUUCCUCGAUCCUCACCCAUUAUAGGCUCAUUUGAAUCGAGUUCAGUUCAGGGGAAUACAUUUCCCUAUGGCUACACGGAGAUGAAAAUCUCACGAAACCAUAGGUACGGAUGUAUCCCGAAAGUGAUCCACUAUCCUGCACGGAGGCGAAAACUUCACGAAGGCAUAGCUUCUCACUCCUACUUAAGGGUGUGACCACAAUGGUCAUGCAAAUACAAUGCGUAUCAGAAUAUAGCAACACAUGCAAUAGUACAAACACAUGUAAUGCAAAGAGGACUAAAUUUUAAAAUUUUUAAUUUCUAACAUUAAGAUAAGAGAUAAUCAAUUACACGGCUUGACUCUCUUAUUAGUCCCCAACGGAGUCGCCCAGCUGUCGAAACCAUUUUUAAAUCGAGUUUUGGAAAAUGGAAAUCGACCUUAAGAAAAACGAAAACGGGAGUCGCCACUAAUCUUUUUAGGUGUGAUUGGAUCACCUUAUAAAAUGUUUUGUUUUAAAACAUUAAUUUUGGUCUACGAAAGUCGAGAAAACGAUUCAGGAUUCGGUUACGUACGAGGAAGGGUUAGCACCCUCGUAACGCCCAAAAAUUGGUACCUAAUUGAUUAUCAAAUGUCUUUAAUAUCGAAAAUUUGAAAGUUUUAAGAUGCAAACCUCUUUUAAUUAGAAUGUCUCAAUUUUGAAAAUUAAGGCUCACUUAUUUCAAACAAGUCAAAACAUCACAUCCAGUAAGUUAGGACGCAACAUUUUAAAACCUUUGAAACUAAGCUCGUCUUUUGAAAAUUUCUAUCUCGAAACAACAAAACGCCAUAUCCAAUAAGUUAGGAAACUAUGUUUUGAAAUCUCGAAAUAAUUGUUUAAGUUUUGAAAACUCAAAAUCACUUAGAAGGGUGCUUGAUUAUUCGAAUUCAACGAGAAAAGUCGCAAUCCAGUAAGUUAGGGCACUACCUUUCUCGAAGUUUCCAAACAUCAAGCAUUGCCUUUUAUUUUUUAUUUUAAAAAACCUUGGAAUAUUAUUUUAAAUGACGUUUUAGGAUGGCAUAUUAAUGCAUCAUGAAGCAUAGAUGUACAAAAUAUUCUAACAUUUCCAUACAAACAUAAAUAAUAUCAUUAAGACAAAACUAAAUAACAUGAACUUACGUUUAAUAAAAAAAAAUCAUACUAGGGUAAAAAUAAGAUAAUAAACAAAUAAAAACAUGAGUAAACUAAAAGAAAAACAUAAUACAUGCAAAAAAAUUAUACAACAAUAUAUAUCAUAAAAUAGCAUAUAAAAGAAAUAAUUAAACAUAGCAUAUAAAAAAAAUGAAACUAUGCACAAAUAAGAUAAAUGACAUACACUAAAAAAAUGAAUAAAUAGAACAUUUACAAAUUAUAAAAAUAUAAAGUAAUAGUUCAAAAUACAUGAAAUGAUAAUAUAAUAUAUAUACAUGCAUAGAAAAUAUAUAUUUGAAAAAAAACUAUAUAAAAAGGUUAAAUAUUAUAAUAUAUAAAAUACAUAAUAAAAUGUAUAAAAGAUAGGAAUAAAUAUACAUAUUUGAAAAAUGAAGAAAUUAAAAUAAAAACAAGGUUGAAAAACUAAGAUAGACGAAGAAUAAAAUAAGAACAAACCACAGAGAGUAAGAACGCAAGAGGGAGAGAAUUUUGAGUGAAUGCUCUCAAGAAUUCUUAUUGCUUCCCAAAACUCAAGUGAUUUACAAUGAAGGGAGAGGCCUCUAUUUAUAGUUGAGCCUCCCCAAAUCCAACGGUAUAGAUCAAUUACAUCAACGGUUAAGAUUAAAGGAUAUCUACAAAUUAAAUCUCCAAGUUUACAAGAUCAUAUCUUCAAGAUUUCAUAUCAUAUCUAAGAGUGCAUAUCAUAUCUAAGAUUGUAUCAUAUCUAAGAUUGCAUAUCAUAUCUAAGAUUGCAUAUCCUUAAAGAUUAUAUUUCCAUAUGAGUCAAGCUUAUAGAUGGACCUUAAAUCUUUUCAAGUAAUGGGCGAUUCCGAUUGGGCCAAAUUAUAUGUUUGUAAUUUUGUACUGGACUUGGACUUUGUUUUAUUUUUAUUUUUUGGGGGGUUUAUUAUUUUAAAUACUGAAAUGGGCCGGACAAAAUUGAGUGUCUACAUAUAGUAUUGUCAUUUAAUUGCACUUGUACUAAGGUUACAAUUUUUUUAUUAAAUUUUUUUAGAUUAUUGAAAUUAUUAGAGAACAGGAUAAAAUUAUACGAUGAUAACUUUUUUUAUCAAAUACAAAGUAUAUAUAGUAACAACUUAGUAGUCACUUCGAAGAAUAUAAACAAUGCAAGUCCAAGAGUUAAAAAGUCACUUCAAAUAAUAUAAACAAUGCAAAUUCAAUAGUUAAAAGUGAUGGAAAACUAAGUAAAUAGCUAAAAUGACUUUUUUUUUAUAAAGUUGGAGGGUCAAAAAAUUUUCUUAUCUUAUGAGUACCCUCGACAACAUGCCACCAUAAAGUAAGAAUAUAAAGUAUGAUUCAUUUAACUAGAUUUCUAGAAAGAAAAUUUGUAUUUUUGUCCGUAUAAAAGGGUGUAGAUUUGAGCUUAUUGAAACAUAUUUUUUUCUCUUAUAUAAGGAUUAGCAAAGAUUUAUGGAUAAUUCUAAUUAUUUUAUAAAAAAAUUAUAUAUUAUGGCAUAAAAAUUUCAAACUGUUUAUUUUCGGAAAUUAUUGAAUAAAGAAAUAAAGAAUUUUCAAUUUAAAAAUCUUAAAUUUAAAUCAUAACAACAGAAUGAAUUUAGUUACAACUGUCUCUUUACAAUUAUCCAAGAUGGAUUAAAUUUGGUUUUAUAUCUAAGAUAUUAAAACGAUAAUUAGGUUAAUUAUAAGUAUUAAACAAAAUUUUUCAGAUAAAAAUAUAAGUAAUUUUACAGUAUUCAUGCUAGGAAUUGUGGAGUGUGUCUCGUAUUCUUUGCACACUUAUUUUUGUAUGAUUAGAACUCUAAUUUAAGCAUAUAUAAAGGAGUACUUAUUGUAUCCAAGUUUCAAUAAGCCAAUCAAGAUGUAGUCAUAAGUUUUUUCUUUGAGGGCGACAAUAUGUAGUCCCAUAUGAGCUUUAGUGAGAGUUUCGUGAUAAUUAUGAAGAAUAUUUUUAUACUCAUUUUGUGAGUAACUUAUGAGAUUUAGGGUUUUGUUUACCAGUUUUCUCUUUGCAAUUUUGAGCUUUGUAUUUAGAGUUUUGGGUAAUGUACAUUUAGUACUUUUAGGUUUAAUUUCUCCAUAUUGUACUCUUGUUUGUUUACUCAUUUAGUGAAAAGUGAAAGCCUCCUUUGUUCAUAGUUUUUCCCUCUUUGAAGGUUUUCCACGUAAAAUAUUUGUGUUCGUUCUUCUCUACUUUUACUACUUUGUUGUUUUUAUGGGUCAAUGCCCAAUAAAAUGGUUUCAGAGCUACAUUUUAGCUUCUGCAGAUUGAAUCAUUUGGUGACACAAUAAAAUAUUUGAAUAUCGAGAAGUUCAACGGGAUCCAAAAUUUCAAUUUUUGGCAGUUUCAAAUAAUUACGGAUGAAGUUGAUGUGGCCAGGACAAGGAUGAUGAUUCAUUAUUCUCCACAUAUAUCUGGUUAAAGGUGGAGUCGUGUCAAAUGUUAGGCAUGUGCCUGAUUUAGAGAAGAAUCUCAUCCCCCCUUUUGGUCUUUAAGACUCGAGUGGUUUGCAAAGUGUUUAAGGCAAGGUUGUCGUAGAGGGUUACCGUCAAAUGGAGAGAGUUUCGCUUGUUUGGGUAUUACUGACACUUGUUGCAUUAUACAAAUUUGAUUUAAAGAUUAUGCGUCUUUCAGUUUUCAAGUUCAAGCAUACUUUAAACUUGGUUGACAUUUUGCAAAAUUCGAGUUUGGCAUGUGACGGGGGAUGGAAAAGGAGACAUGAUAAAUAUAAGUCAAUGUGGAGAUUUGUGGGGCGUAUCUUGUAUUCUUCUCCAAGUUAAACUCUAUUAUCUUUUCCCAGUUGGAAUAUGAUUAUACCAGGGAUAUAUUAGUAUGAUUAGGACUCUAAUUUAAGUCAAUUUAAAGGGUCAUUGUAUCCUUGUUUCGAUAAGCCAAUCAAGAUGUAGUCGUAGGCUUUUUCUUUGAGAGCGACAGGAUGUAGUCCCAUAUGAGUUUUGGUGAGAAUUUCAUUUUUAUACCCCUUUUGUGAGUGACCUAUGAGAUUUAGGGUUUUGUUUAUGGAUUUUCUCUUUGGGACUUUGAGCUUUGUAUUUAGGGCUUUGAGCAAUGUAUGUUUAGUAUUUUUAGGUUUAUUUCUCCAUAUUGUACUCUCGUUGGUUUACUUAUUUAAUGAAAAUUCGAAGCCUUAUGAAACAUGCACGGAUGGGGUGAAAUUUAUUAAAUUCCAAUCACCAAAGUUGCCAAUUUUCAAGCUUGGGAAAUCAUUAGACUUGUGAUGACUUUUUGGACGGGAUCCUAGCAUUUCUAGGUUGAUAUAUGACAUGGUGUUUUUAGAUCUAUCUCUUAUCUUCGAUAAACAUUUUGAAUAACUCGAUUUUGAGUUUGGGAGCUCAAGUUAUGAUCGUUUUAGUGAAAACUGCGCGAGCAAAAUUUCUGAAAGGGAUUAUGACGGGAAUUACGAAUUUUGGGCUUUUAAUUUGAGUUUAAGUCAUACAAGGUUAGGAUUUUAGGCUUAAUUUUUUUAUAUAUGAGUCCAAUAUUGUAUUUAUCAGCUCUUAUUAUUUUAUUAUUAUUUUAUUCUGAAUUUUUGAUAAUUAGUAGGUAUUUUAAGUUAUUUAGGAGUUUUAUGUUAACAAGAAAGUUUAGUUUAAAAAUUUUUCUUGUUUAGAUUAAAUUUGAGUUCCAGUAUACUUAAGAAUUUUUUUAGAUUUAUGUAGCUAGCCUAUAUAUGGGCUUUUGCAUUGUACACAAUGGAUACAAUUCAUUAUUAUUCUAUUUCUCUUUUGAGUUAAUAAAUUCUCUAUGGGUUUUUCUUUUCAAGAAUUUCUCUUGAGUUUCUUUUAGAAGAGUUUUAACAAUCUUUUUAGAUUGGGGGGAUCAUUUUCAAACUUUUUCUUACCAAGGUUUCUAUCUUGGAGGGGAAAUUAGAGCCGCUUGAAGGGGGUUGUGGAUUCUUCGUGUUUCCAAGGCUUCUUAGGACUUCUACUUGCCACGUUCUAUCUUUCCAUUUAUCUUCUUUAUUUGCUUCCUUAAUCUUUAAUUUAUUAUUUUAUUUUAGUUAUUUAUUUUAAUUAUUUUAUCUAACUUGGAUUCAAUUUCGUUUAAGGUUGUGUCAAAAUCCAAGUUUCUUUCUGAACGUCUAGAGCCCUAAGUCAAAUCCGCAACUCUGACAAACUUUACGAUCCACUUUUGCAUUCAUCCUUCUCAUCCUUUAUCACCUCAUUUGCUCGUGGUUUUUCCCUAUUUAAGGGUUUUUCACGUAAAAUAUUUGCGUCCAUUCUUCUCUACUUUUACUACUUUAUUGUUUAUAUGGGUAAAUCUUUAGCAGGAACAUGUCCAGUCACCAACCUUUCAUAAAUUUUUUACCAUUUUUUUUAGAUCUUUAUAGAUUCAAUAAUAGUUUUCCAAUUUUCCAAGUAUUCAUUGUCUUGCCCUUUCCUUGGGUUUGGUUUGGGACGACUGCUUGACUUAAUUGUGCAAUCUAAAGUCUUUCCAAUUUGUCAUUUUAAGCUAAGUAGUUGCUAAUAUUGUAAUGACUGACAAUUACGGAUAUCGGAAACUGAAGGUUUGGGUGACUGUUUUCAUAAAACGAAUUCGUAAAUAUUUAUUAGAAAUAUUUACGAAUGAUAGUUGAGUGGUUAAUUAGAGUUUAAUCUAGUGAAUUAGCUUGAAUUAAGAAUAAUUAGGAGAAAGGACUAGAUUGAAUAAAGAAUAAAAGUUUAAUUGAGGAUUAAAGAAAAGACAAGGGAUUAAUUUAGCAAUUAAACUAUAGUAAGACAAAUGUAUGGUAAAAAUAAAUAAAAUGUGUAAAAAUAUAAAUGGUACACAUGUAAUAAACAUGUGUAUUUACUUAUUUUAUAAGAAAAUAAUAAUGAUUAAAGUAUAUUAUAAUAAUAUAAUAUAAUAUAGUAAUUAAAUAAAACAAAUAAAAGAAAAGAAAGAAAUAGAAAGAGGAUAGAAGACGAAAUAGCAGGGAAAGGAAAGGAAAGAAAAAGAAAAAGGAAAAAUUAGGGUUCUAAGGUUUAAAGCUUGAUUGGUAAGUCAAUUUGAUCCCUUUUGCAGUAAUUUUUUUGUCUAUGGAAUCCUAGGAAAGAAUAUUACCUGAGUUAUGUUGAAAUUUAAAAAGUUAUUGAAUUUUUAGAUGUUGAUUAAGUUGAAUAAAUGGAAGAAUUAAGUGUUAAUUUGAUGAAAAUUCAAGUUAGAAGUGGGGGAAGGAUUAAUUUGUAAAGAGAGAUAUAAGUUUUGUCAUAAUACGGACUAAAUUGUCUAAAUUGUAGAAUUGAUGUUUUAUAUUGAAUAUUAAGAGUUGAAACUUGUUUAAAAUAGGUAUAAAAAGAGAAUAUAUGAUUUAAUUGUAGAGAAAAGAAUGGUUAUGGUGGAAGGACUUCAUUGAAAAUAUAGUAAAAGUUACAUGGAAAUAAAAGAAUGUGUUAUUAAAUAACAUGCAUUGAUAAUUUUAAAUGUUAAAUUUUAUGUAGCCAACGUAGCACCUUAAACAUCAUUGAAAAAGGGAAAGGAGAAAGUGAACGAGGAUAUCGAGUAAACUCGAGAAAUUCGGUUUGUUUUUCUAUAAACUAUGCUUAAUGAUUUAAUACAAUGUAAUUGCUAUUUUUAGCAGUUAGAAUGUAUAAUGAAUGAUAUGAUAGAAAUUAUUACUGCUUUUGUAUUGAAGUGUAACAAUUUGUAUACCCUAUUAACAAGUGUCGGGUUAGUCAGAUAUAAUUGGCAUGCCAUAGGAUUGGAAGUGUUCAGGGAUAUUCCGACUAUGUGUCGAUGAGACACUAUAUGUGUUGACUACUGUGACUGUUCCAGAUUUAUUCGAAAGAGGUACUCUGUACCUGACUGUGACUGUUACUGCUACUGUUACUGUUACUGUUACCCUACGGUGUAUUCUGGUUUCAGUCGAUGAAACACUGUACAUUAUCCCCGGUGUGUGGGUUGGAUCCGUGUAUCCGUUCAAGUUAUAAAGUACUCAAAACUGAAUGUUAUCUUUAUAUGACUGGUUUACGAUGUUGAAUGAUAUUGAAUGAUAUGAAAUAUUUAUGAAUUUCUUUUCUACAUGAAAAAGAUACGAAAUGAAUUUGAAAGAUGAAGUUACCAAGAUUAUGAAAGUAAAAGUUUAAGUUAGAAUGUUUAUACAAAGUUUAUUAUUUGUUUAAGUAUUAGUUUAUAGGAAUACCACUGAGUGCAUACUUAGAGUAUGGUUUGUUUCCGUACGCAGGUUAGGUACAAAGUAAAUAAAGUCUCAGCAUCCGAGCCAACUCCUGAACUCAAUACUUGGUGAUGUAUCUAUCUAUGAUGAAUGGCAUGUACCUAGGUUGUUUAAUGUUAUUUUGGUUAUAAGUUAUGUUAAUGAGGAGUGAUAAUGGAUAGUUAAUAGUUGUAAAGAGAAUACUAUAAUGUGUAAUCAUUUGAAUUGAAUACAAUGGCACGUGGGUGCAACUUUGAAUAGUUUAGUUUAAGGCAUUAUUGAGUAUAUGUGUUAGAUUAUGAAAUGAUAGUUUAAUGAGUAUUAAGUGUGUUUAAUUAUAUUUGGAUUGGUUGAAUGAAGAAAUUUUGUAGUACUUGUUGUCUACAAAUUGCAGGGUUGGUAAAUUUUAAAAUACAAGGUUCAUUUUGAGUCCACAUGGUUUGUCACACGGGCGUGUGACCAAGCCGUGUGAGACACACAGCUUGCACAUGGGCGUGUUGUUAGGCUGUGUGUCCCCUGCACCUAAAUAGUUACAACCAAGUUAGUCCACGGGCAUGUGCCUUGGUUGCCACGGCCGUGUCUUAAAGUUAGUGUUGAACACGAGUUGAGGAUACGAGCGUGUCCCAAGCCACACGGGCGUAUGGUACUGUUCAAAGGAGGAAAAAUUUAAAUUCGAACGAGAAAUUUUCUAAGCCUAUAAUCGAGCCCCGAUUAAUUUUAAUUAUAUUUAAUAGGUACUGUGGGCCCAUUAAAGCUAUGUUUGGAUGUAUUAAAUUUCAUUUAUUCAUGUCUUAGUGUAAAUGUACUGAAAUGACCAGUAAUACUCUGUGAUCCUGUUCCGACAACGGGACAAGGUUAGGGGUGUUACAUUUAGUAGUAUCAGAGCUACUCAGGUUUAGUCGAUUCUAGGACUAAAUAGAGUCUGAAAUUGAGUCUAGAGGUACAAGCUAUUUUUAUGUUAAUAUUGAAUCGGGAUUGGAUGCUGAUAUAUAUAUAUACUGAUAAAUUGAUUCUAUUUUAUAGUGUGAAAAAGAUGUCUGAUGAAAGUAUCGAGGGUACCGAUCAAGAAAUGUACAGUAGAGAUGAAUCAUAUGAUAUAAAUGAGUCCGAAUCUGUAACCUCAAGCGUAAACCCGGUAGGUAAUCAACCACCAAGUACUGGAAGGGAUAAUAUAGAAAUAUUUAGAAUGAUUGCGGAAGCUCUUCAAAGAGCGGUAGGAAGUAUGCCUGCUACUACUUCUACUCCUACUACCCGAUGAGCACCUAUUAAGGAAUUGCGAAAGUAUGGAGCUACAGAAUUUUUGGGGUCAAAAGGAACUGAUUCAACAACAGCUGAAAGUUAGUUGAGACUACCAAGAGAUUUUUGAAGCAAUUAGAAUGUACACGACAAGAAAGUUUAGUAUGUGUUGUUUCUCUGUUACAAGAGGAGGCUUACAUAUGGUGGGAAUCAGUGAUUCAGAAUAUACUAGAAGAACAGGUAAACUGAGAACUCUUUCAACGGGAAUUUUAGAAGAAGUAUUUGGGAGAGACAUAUAUGAAAUAUUGGAAAUAGGAGUUUUUAAUGUUGAAGCAGAAAGAUAUGUCUAUAGUGAACUAUGAACGGGAAUUCUUGAGAUUGAGUCGAUAUGCAACUGAAUUUGUGCCGACUGAAGCUGACAGAUGCAAGCUAUUUCUAAGAGGACUGCGAGAUGAAUUCCAACUGCAAUUGAUGCCUCUACGGAUUACAGAGUUUGUAGAUUUAGUAGAAAGAGGUAAAAUGAUUGAUCAAGUACUAGGAAAGAGUUGAAAGACUGAAACUGCACAUUUAACUGGGAAACGUCCUGGAACUGCUAGUUCAACUCUGCAAUUCAAACAAUUAAGAGAAUCUCCAGGCAGUGGAAGAUUCAGUACAAGAUCAGAAAGAGGAGACAGAAGUCAAAAGAGACAAACCACUGUAUCUACUGGUAGUAUUAGAAGUCCGGCUCAGAACAUUGAAAUUCUAGAAUGUGAGUAUUAUGGAAACAAACAUAGAGAAGAGUGUAGAAAGUUAACUGGGGGUUGUUUUCGAUGUGGAUCCACCGAUCAUUUUGUAAAGGAUUGUCUGAAGAUUGGUAAUGCAGCACCAACGGUAUUCCAAAGAUCUGAAUCUACUUCCAGAGGUCGAGGGUCAGGCCGAAGUGGUCCAGUCGCUAGAGGAGGUACUACAAGAACUAGUGAAAAUGCUACCCAGCAAUCUAAAGUAAGAACUCCAGCUCGGGUAUAUGUUGUAAGAACUCGAGAAGAGGGAGAUGCCCAUGGUGUGGUAACAUGUAUAUUCUCAUUAUAUUCAGAUCUGUUUAUGUUUUGAUAGAUCCAGGAUCGUCACAUUCCUAUGUUAAUACAAAACUAGUUGAGACGAGAAAUUUAAAACUUGAACUGUCUAGAGUAAUGAUAGAAGUGUCUAGUCCAUUAGGGCAAACAAUGCUAGUGAAUCAAAUUUUUCGAAUAUGUCCAUUAAUAAUUCAAGAUAAAAACUUUUCUGCUGAUCUGCUGAUUAUGCCAUUUGGUGAUUUUGAUAUUAUAUUGGGGAUGGACUGGCUAUCAGAACAUGGAAUAAUUUUAGACUUUAAUAAAAAGAAAUUUACUAUUCAAAAUGAAGACAGUAAUCGGAUUGAAGUAAAUGGCAUUCGGACUAGUAGUUUAGCUCGAAUCAUUUCUGCAAUUAAAGCUAGUAAGCUUCUUUAUCAGGGAUGCACAACUUUCUUAGCAUAUGUUAUUAACUCUGAUUCAGUAGAGAAUCAGUGUAGUAAAAUUCGAACUGUAUGUGAAUUUUCCGAUGUGUUCCCUGAAGAAUUACCUAGAUUACCUCCUGAUCGAGAAGUGGAAUUUGUAAUUAAAAUAUAUCCGGGUACAGAUCCAGUGUCAAUACCUCCCUAUUGAAUGUCACCUAUUGAGUUAAAGGAGUUGAAAGUACAACUGCAAGAUUUAUUAGAUCGAGUUUUAUACGACCUAGUACAUCACCGUGGAGAGCUCUAGUAUUAUUUGUUAAGAAGAAAGAUGGUUCAAUGCGAUUAUGUAUUGAUUAUCAACAAUUGAAUAAGGUGACUAUCAAGAACAAAUACCCGUUACCUCGUAUUGAUGAUUUAUUUGAUCAAAUAAAAGGAGCUUCUGUGUUUUCAAAAAUUGAUUUGAGGUUGGGAUAUUACCAGUUGAAGGUAAAGGAGAGUGAUGUACCAAAGACAACAUUCCGUACAUAGUAUGGGCAUUAUGAAUUCUUGGUAAUGCCAUUUGGAUUAGCAAAUGUUCCAGCUGCCUUUAUGGACCUUUUGAAUCGGAUUUUUCAACCGUACUUGGAUCAGUUUGUAGUGGUUUUUAUUGAUGAUAUUUUGGUAUACUCAAAGUUUGAAGUUGAGCAUGAACAACAUCUUCGAAUGGUAUUGCAAAUAUUGUGAGAGAAGCAAUUGUAUGGAAAAUUGAAGAAGUAUAAGUUUUGGUUAUUGGAAGUUGUAUUUCUUGGUCAUGUAGUUUCUGCAGAAGGGAUUAGAGUAGAUCUAAAGAAGAUUGAAGUCAUACCUCAGUGGAAAGUUCCCAAAAAUGUGUCAGAGGUACGUAGUUUCCUCCGGUUAGCUGGAUACUAUCGAAGGUUUGUGAAUGGAUUUUCAAAGAUAGCUUUACUGAUGACCAAGUUGUUGCAAAAGAAUGUUUUGUUUGUUUGGAAUGAAUAGUGUCAGAAAAGUUUUGAAAAGCUGAAGCAGAUGUUAACAGAGACACUAGUGUUGACUUUGCCAGAAUCGGGAAAAGAUUUUGUUGUGUAUAGUGAUGUUUCAUUGAAUGGACUUGGAUGUGUAUUGAUGCAAAAUGGAAAGGUAAUUGCUUAUGCUUCACGGCAAUUGAAACCACAUGAACGUAAUUAUCUGACACAUGACUUAGAAUUGGCGGCCGUAAUAUUUGCUUUGAAGAUUUGGAGACAUUAUCUAUAUGGUGAAAAGUGUUAUAUUUACACGGAUCAUAAAAGUCUUAAAUAUCUUCUGUCACAGAAAGAGUUGAAUUUGAGACAACGUCAGUGGAUAGAACUUUUAAAGGACUAUGAUUGUGUUAAUGGCUAUCAUCCUGGAAAAGCUAAUGUAGUAGCUGAUGCACUGAGUAGAAAGGCUGCAGUUGAACUGAGAACAAUGUUUGCACUGCUUAAUAUCACGAAUGAUGAAGGUUUUUUGGCAAAGCUGAGAGUAAAACCAGUAAUGUUUAAUCAGAUCAGGUCAGCACAAUUGUCAGAUGACAAAUUAAUGAAAAAAAGAGAGAUGGUAAAGAACGGUACAGCAAAGAAUUUUAGAAUUGAUGAAAAUGAUUGUUUGAGAUUUCGGAAUCGGCUUUGCAUUCCAACUACUUCUGAAAUAAAGGAGUUGAUUAUUCAAUAAGCUCAUAAUGGCCAAUUUGCAUUACAUCCAGGAGGAACAAAGAAGUAUCGUGAUUUACGGGAACUAUAUUAGUGGUCGGGUAUGAAGAAAGAUAUAGUGGAAUAUGUGGCUAAAUGUUUAACAUGUCAGCGGGUUAAAGCUGAACACUAGGUUCUGACCGGAUUACUUCAGCCUAUUAAUAUUCCUGAAUGGAAAUGGGACUGCAUCAUGAUAUACUUUGUAACCAGGUUACCGUUGUCAGUAAGCAAGAAAAAUGCUAUUUGGGUAAUUGUUGAUCGGCUCACAAAAUCAGCUCAUUUUAUAGCAGUCAGAACUGAUUGGUCACUUCAAAAGUUGGCAGAAAUUUAUAUUUGGGAAAUUUUGAGAUUACAUGGUAUUCCUGUAUCGGUAAUUUUUGAUCGAAAUCCACGGUUUACAUCAAGGUUCUGGAAAUAGUUGCAUGAAUCUCUUGGUACAUGACUUCAUUUUAGUACAACUUUUCAUCCACAGACUGAUGGACAGUCAGAACGAGUCAUUUAGAUUUUAGAAGACAUGCUUCGAGCUUGUAUCAUUGAUUUUGAAUCAAGUUGGGAACAUUAUCUAUCAUUGGCUGAAUUUGUAUAUAAUAAUAGUUACCAAUCAAGUAUUCAGAUGGCACCGUAUAAAGCUUUGUAUGGUCGGAGAUGUCGAUCACCAGUGUAUUGGACGGAAUUGAGUAAAAGAAAAGUGAUUGGUCCAGAAUUGAUUCAAGAAAUGGAAAGCGCUGUUAAAAAGAUUCGAGAAAGGUUGAAAGCAGCUUUUGAUAGGUAGAAAUCAUACGCAGAUCUGAAACAACGGAACAUUGAGUACUCAGUUGGAGACAAAGUAUUUCUUAAAGUUUCUCCUUGGAAGAAAAUUUUGAGAUUUGGUCGAAAGGGUAAGUUGAGUCCACGAUACAUUGGGCCAUAUGAUAUUAUAGAAAGAAUUGGACCAGUGGCAUAUCGUUUAACUCUACCUCCCGAAUUACAAAAGAUUCAUGAUAUUUUCCAUGUUUCUAUGCUAAGAAGAUACCGAUCAGAUCCAUCUCAUGUGAUUUCAACUGAAGAUAUAGAGAUUCGACUAGAUGUGUCAUAUGAAGAAGAACCGGUUAAGAUAUUGGCACAUGAAAUAAAUGAAUUACGUAAUAAAUGAGUUCCCUUAGUAAAAGUGUUGUGGAGAAGUCACAAUAUUGAGGAAGCAACAUGGGAACUAGAAGAUACAAUGAGAUCACAGUACCCCCAUAUCUUUUCAGGUAAAUUUCGAGGAUGAAAUUUUUAAGGGGGAGAAUUGUAAUGACCGACAAUUACGGGUAUCGAAAACUGAAGGUUUGAAUGACUAUUUUCGUAAAAUAAAUUCGUAAAUAUUUAUUAGAAAUAUUUACGAUUGAUAGUUGAGUGAUUAAAUAGAGUUUAAUCUAGUGAAUUAGCUUGAAUUAAGAAUAAUUAGGAGAAAACCCUAGAUUGAAUAAAGAAUAAAAUUUUAAUUGAGGAUUAAAGAAAAGACAAGGGGUUAAUUUAGCAAUUAAACUAUAGUAAGACAAAUGUAUGGUAAAAAUAAAUAAAAUGUGUAAAAAUAUAAAUGGUACACACGUAAUAAACAUGUGUAUUUACUUAUUUUAUAAGAAAAUAAUAAUGAUUAAAUUAUAUUAUAAUAAUAUAAUAUAAUAUAGUAAUUAAAUAAAACAAAUAAAAGAAAAGAAAGAAAUAGAAAGAGGAUAGAAGGCACGAAAUAGCAGGGAAAGGAAAGGAAAGAAAAAGAAAAAGGAGAAAUUAGGGUUCUAAGGUUUAAAGCUUGAUUGGUAAGUCAAUUUGAUCCAUUUUCUUGUAAUUUUUUUGUCUAUGGAAUCCUAGGAAAAAAUAUUACUUGAGUUAUGUUGAAAUUUAGAAAGUUAUUGAAUUUUUAAAUGUUGAUUAAGUUGAAUAAAUGGAAGAAAUUAAGUUAGAAGUGGGAGAAGGAUUAAUUUGUAAAGAGAGAUAUAAGUUUUGUCAAAGUAGGGACUAAAUUGUAUAAAUUGUAGAAUUGAUGUUUUAUAUUGAAUAUUAAGAGUUGAAACUUGUUUAAAAUAGGUAUAAAAAGAGAAUACAGGAUUUAAUUGAAGAGAAAAGUAUGGUUAUGGUGGAAGGACUUAAUUGGAAAUAUAGUAAAAGUUAAAUGGAAAUAAAAGAAUGUGUUAUUAAAUAACAUGCAUUGAUAAUUUUAAAUGUUAAAUUUUAUGUAGCCAACGUAGCACCGUAAACAUCAUCGAAAAAGGGAAAGGAGAAAGUGAACGAGGAUAUCAAGUAAACUCGAGAAAUUCAGUUUGUAUUUCUAUAAACUAUGCUUAAUGAUUUAAUACAAUGUAAUUGCUAUUUUUAGCAGUUAGAAUGUAUAAUGAAUGAUAAAACAGAAAUUAUUACUGCUUUUGUAUUGAAGUGUAACGAUUUGUCUACCCUAUUAACAAGUGUCGGGCUAGUCGAAUAUAAUUGGCAUGCCAUAGGAUUGGAAGUGUUCUGAGAUAUUCCGACUGUGUGUCGAUGAGACACUAUAUGUGUCGACUACUGUGACUGUUCCGAAUUCGUUUCGAAGAGGUACUUUGUACCUAACUGUGACUGUUACUGCUACUGUUACUGUUACCCUACGGUGUAUUCUGGUUUCUGCCGAUGAAACACUGUACAUUAUCCCUGGUGUAUGGGUUGGAUCUGUGUAUCCGUUCAAGUCCGAGUCAGGUUAAUAGGGGUAAAUAAAGUACUGAAGACUGAAUGUUAUCGUUUAUAUGGCUAAUUUACGAUGUUGAAAGAUAUUGAAUGAUAUGAAAUAUUUAUGAAUUUCUUUUCUACAUGAAAAAGAUACGAAAUGAAUUUGAAAGACGAAGUUACUAAGAUUAUGAAAGUAAAAGUUUAAGUUAGAAUGUUUAUUCAAAGUUUAUUAUUGUUUAAGUAUUAGUUUAUAGGAAUACCACUGAGUACAUAUUUAGCAUACGGUUUGUUUCCGUGCGCAGGUUAGGUACAAAGUAGAUAAAGUCUCAGCAUCCGAGCCAACUCCUGAACUCAAUACUUGGUGAUGUAUCUAUCUAUGAUGAAUGGCAUGUACCUAGGUUGUUUAAUGUUAUUUUGGUUAAAAGCUAUGUUAAUGAGGAGUGAUAAUGGAUAGUUAAUAGUUGUAAAGAGAAUACUAUAAUGUGUAAUCUUUUGAAUUGAAUACAAUGGCACAUGGGUGCAACUUUGAAUAGUUUAGUUUAAGGCAUUAUUGAGUAUAUGUGUUAGAUUAUGAAAUGAUAGUUUAAUGAGUAUUAAGUGUGUUUAAUUAUAUUUGGAUUGGUUGAAUAAAGAAAUUUUGUAGUACUUGUUUUCUACAAAUUAUAGGGUUGGUAAAUUUUAAAAUACUAGGUUCAUUUUAAGUCUACAUGGUUUGUCACACUGGCGUGUGACCAAGCCGUGUGAGACACACAGCUUGCACAUGGGCGUGUUGUUAGGCCGAGUGUCCCCUGCACCUAAAUAGUUACAACCAAGUUAGUCCACGGGCAUGUGCCUUGGUUACCACGGCCGGGUCUUAAAGUCAGUGUUGAACACGAGUUGAGAACACGAGCGUGUCCCAAGACACACGGGCGUGUUAAUUUGGCCACACGGGCGUAUGGUACUGUUCAAAGGAGGAAAAAUUUGAAAUCGAACGAGAAAUUUUCUAAGCCUACAAUCGAGCCCCGAUUUAUUUUAAUUAUAUUUAAUAGGUAUUGUGGGCCCAUUAAAGCUAUGUUUGGAUGUAUUAAAUUUCAUUUAUUCAUGUCUUAGUGUAAAUGUAUUGAAAUGACCGGUCAUACUCUGUGAUCCUGUUCUGGCAAUGGGACGGGGUUAAGGGUGUUACAAAUAUAUAAAUUAAGUGUUGGAAGAAGUGAUUGGGAAGUUGACGCUUCUUCAAGCAUUACGAAACAAAGAAUAAAAAUAGGAGACACAGAUUGUUUAUAUAGUUCAGUUUUCCUACGCUUGCAGAGUUUACCUUAAUGAGAAAUAUCUACUUCUCAUGAUACAACAUAGUCUCAUUAAUUCCAUUCUUUUCUCUGAGAACCCUAACCCAUAAGGCUUCAAUCUUAGUGAUAAGUCUGUAACACAUUUUCAUCAUGAAGGUUUUAUUUUGAUCACAUGAAGGAUGAAAACCAAAACCUAUACGUAAUCUAGAUUGACAAAUAGAUUCCCACCCGAUUAAAGCCAUUUUCCUUUUCCCAUCAAAAGCAUCCCAAAUGAAUUGCCUUGCCAUUUAUUCAAUUGAGUUGCAAAUACCUUUCGAAACAAAUAGACUACAUAAGAUAGCUCGGGAUAGUCAAUAGAAUCGUUUGUGCUAAAGUGACCCUCCUUGCAAAGGAAAUUUUUUAGCGUCCUAACUUGAUAAGCGGUUGUAAACUCUUUCUACCAAGAAAUUCAAAGUGCUUUUUGUAACUCUUUGAUGAAAAAGAAGGACACCUAGAUAAUGCCCUAGAUCAUUAACUUCUUGGAAACCAGGGAUACUAUUGAUACCUCUUAUUAAAUCUUCCCUUAACACCAGCAGAGUAAAAGACAUUAGUCUUCCUAGCAUUAACCUUAUGACUAGAAAGCUCACAAAAGUUAUCUAGAAAAUUUUUUAGAAGAUCAUGCUCUUAAUUAGCUUUACUAAAAUUCACUAAAUCAUCUGUAAAGGAAAGAUGUGAGAGAUUUGAAUUGGAAUGUGGUAAUCAAAUAGGGCUUCACUUUCCUGAUGAAAAAACUGAAUGAAAGUGAUGCCCUAACCACUCCAUGCAUAGGACGAAAAGGUACGAGGACAAAGGGCAUCCUUGAUGUAUUUCCCUUACAUGCUUGAAUUUGGAAGUUGGAGAUCUAUUCCACAGAACAUGCACGGUAAACAUUGAAAUAACAUUCAUAAUAACCUGAAUUUAAUAAAAAGGAAUACCUACUGCAUUAAGUGAAGCUUCGACAAAGUCCCAACGCACUCGGUCAUAAGCUUUCUUCAAGUCUAUCUUGACAGCCAUCCAUUGGAGAUUUUUCUUAAUUCUCAGAGAAUGUAAGACUUCAUGUGCAAUGACUACGUUAUCAAUGAUACUUCUCCCCGUUAUAAAUCUUGCUUGCUCUUGGCCAAUGAUAUUCAGAAAUAUGCUUUUAAACUUGUUCGUAAUAACCUUCAUAACCAACUUAUAUAACACAGAACAAAGGCUAAUGGGUCUGAACUGCGGGAAAUUUUUAGGAUUUGAAACUUUGGCAAGUAAGACAAUAAGGGUAUUAUUAAACUUUGAGUUUAUAAUUCCACCUUCAAAAAUCUUCCUAACCCACUCAGAGAUAGCUCCUCCUAUGUUAUCCUACUAAGUCUGAAAGAAACAUGCGUGAAAACCAUCACUUUCUAGAGUCACUUUCUAGAGCCUUUAGUGGAGCCAUAUUAAAAAGGGCAGUCUUGAUUUCUUUAUUAAACACAUCCCUCCAACCUUAUCGAUUAAGACUCGGAAAGCCACUUAAAGGUAAAUUCUCUGACAGGUUAGGAGUUUCUCCAUAAAGAUUCUGAAAGAAUUUAACUGCUUCUGUUUUAAGGACAUAAGGUUCAAAAAUCCACUCCCCAUCCAAAUUACAUAAAACUAUAAUUCUAUUAAAAUUCUUUUUCUGAAUCGCGUAUCUAUGAAAAUACUUGGUGUUUCAAUCCCCUAAUUUUAACCACUCACAUCUCGAUUUUUGUUUCCAAAGCAUCUCCUCGUGAUAAAGAAUAUUCCCAAUGUCCCCUUAGACCUUCGAUUCACGUUGCACCGAGAAUUAGUACUAGGCAGGUCCAUCACUCAUUGUAAAAUUUGUUAAAGUUUGAAACCUAGAUCACGUUGAUUUCUCCACCAUAGUACUCUUUCCUUUUUUGUUGUAUUCCAGUGUAGCACGUUUGUUUCUCCUUUCCGCCAACAUCCAUGGCCAAAAAUCCCCAUAUCUGAUUGUUGUAUUUUUUUGGGUUUUUUUUGUCGAUGGUUCCACCUCAUUCGUCGACUAGUUAAUAUAGGUAACAUACGGACAUUUUUCAUUAUUAUGCCCAUAACGCCUACACGAGAAGCACACCACAAGUAAACUCUUAUACUCGACUCUUUGUAAAUUUCAAUUGAUAAGCAGCUUUGAAAUCAAAGGUCUCCCUAGAUUAACGUAAAUGCCAUUCUUGCAUAUCGACUUCUUGCCCUACUAUUAGUGUUGAAAUCCAACUUUGUGACCUUACCAACCAUUCCCCCAAUCUCUCAUAGGAUCUCUUUUUUGUACAAGUGACUGGAAAGAUCUGGAAAUCUGAUCCAAUUAAGAACUGUAUUAGGGUAGGGUAAUGUUGGAUCAAAAUCAAUUGUCCAUGGUUGAACUGUAAGGUAUUGAGAAAAAAUAAGUCACGAACCUUGUGUGAAGAUUUUUUCAUAGUCUUUAGAACUUUGGAAUUUGGCUAAAAAAUAACCAUUUUCAAUAUCCAUCAAUUGAAAUGGUUUGGCAGGUCUCCAUAUUCCUUAUAAUCUAUUUUGCAAAGAUGUAAACCCGAUAUUUCGUCCCAGCAUCUUAAGAACCACAAAUGUGGACAUUUCCCUUUCAAGAAGUUGAAAAAUUCUCUCUGAGAAAUUAAUGGAGGGAAUACCAUUUGUACAAGCCCAAUUUUGGGCCCAAAACCAACAACCCACUAAACCUAACAGAAGCCCAAACUAAACAAACAACUUACCCACAAACCCAAAACAUACUCAACCCAAACACACAACGAAAGAAAAAGCCAAGGAAACCCUAGCAGUUUAGCUGCUGCCUCCUUGUCCCAUCCACCGACGCCUGCAGCACCGCCCCAUCGACGUCCAAGUUGCACCCCUGUAGACAUUAAAGAGACAGGACAGAAAGCAAAAAAAGAGAAAUGUAAGGGCUAUUUAAAAGCCAAAUCCAAAAACUGUAGAUUCAUUCGGUACUCUUAUGAAAUAACAAGCAAUAUUAGACCUUUUUAAAAAAGGGAAAAGAGAAAAACUCAAAAUCGCAGCAAAAACAGAACGGAGAACAAAAAUCGAAGGUUACCCCUAUUUCUCCUUAUUUUCCUUAUUUUCUUUUGAAUCUGUUCAUACCCACAAUUUUCACCUUAUUUAAAACAGCAUAUAUAUUAAAUAUAAAUAUAUAGAAGACGAAAAAAGGGGAGAAAAUUAUACCUCGAGGCGAUUUCCGGCCACCGUGACACGGCGGAGCCACGGCGGGGGGAACGGCCGGAUUCUUGACCGGUUCUGGAUUCUUCCAGAGAAAAAAAGCUCUCCCUUUUCUUUUUUUUUCUCUUAAACUCAGACCAAAUGAAAAUUUCAAAAAAAAUUGACCUUUAUAAGCCCCUGGUACGGCGUCAUUUUGGGGCUAACAUUUAGCACCCAAAACGGCGUCGUUUGGAAGUUGACCCGAGGACCCGACUCGCUUGUGCCAAGGAUCCGCGUGUUUUGGGACUGAGGGUCUAUUUGCGCUCUCAGUCCCUCCGCUUUUGAGGCUGGUUUCCAUCUGGUCCUAUCUCGUUUCUUUGAUAUUUCUAAAUUUGAUCGCUUCUUUUGUUUUUGUUACAAUUUGGUCCCUAGACCACUCAAAUGGCCAAGUACCCGAACGGUGCCGUUUAUGGGUAUGGGUUAAUUUCCUAUGUGGCCCCUGUAUUUCUGCUUGCGAUUCAUUUUAGCCCUUCAAUCUGCAUUUCGCUAUUUUUAUUUCAAAAUCUAUACUCGAACUUUUGUUUCUUCAUAAUUUAAUCCCAUUUCUUUAUUAUUACUAUUAUCAUUAUUAUUUGUUGCUUAAUUUAUUAUUGUUUUUAUUUUUAUCCUCAUUAUUAUUAUUAUUAUUAUUACUAUUAUUUGAUACUAUCAUUACUAUUAUUAUUCUAAUUACGAUUAUUAUUAUAUAUAUACAUACCUUUUAUUAUUAUUCAUGUACAUAUAUUUUAAAUAUUAUUACCAUUAUUAUUUUUAUCACUUACAUGGUUAUUAUUAUUCUAUUAAUAUAUACUUUAUUGCAUGUGUACGUAUAUACAUUUCUUUUUAUGUAUAACUAUCAUUUUCAUUACUUUAUUUUAAUAUUACUAUCAUAUUAUAUUUACUUUUUGUAUUUUAACAUUAUUAUUAUUAUUAUUAUUAUUGUUAUCAUAUAUUAAUGCAUGCUUUUAUGUAUAUAUAUAUAUACAUAGUAUUGUUCCUGUAUUACUUUAAUUAAAUAUUUAUCAUAUUUACUUUUCGUAUUUCUAUAUCAUUAUUAUUAUCAUCAUCUUUGUAAGUACUAUUACCAUUGUAUUAUAAUUAUUAUUAUACUUUUAUUUUCUUAUUAUUCAUCUAUUAUGUUUCUUAUCUAUUCAUGUUUCCAUUAUUAUGCUGUAUCUAUUAUUUAUUAAUAUUUUAUUAUUACUAUUAUUAGCAUUAGCAUCAUUUUAUCAAUACUAUAUUAUGUAUGUAAUUUCUAAUGAUUAUAUUAUGUAUGUAUUUCAUAUAUAUAUAUCCCAUGCAAAUACAUUUUUAAUAUCAUAAUUGCUAUAUGUAUAUAUGUAUAUUAUGCAUAUACUUUAAUACUUCGUAUAUAUUUCAUUUCUGUUAUUACAUAUAUAUUUUAAUACAUCUAGGUAUAUUUACGUAUCAUACUAUUAUUAUUUAUGUUUUUGCUAUCAUUAUCAUUAUCAUCGCCACUUUUAUCUUGUCAUGUUUUAUAAUUGCUCAUUUAUUCAUUUAAGUAUUUGCUUAUUUCAUUUUUCCUACGUAUUCAUCUGUUAGCCUUAUAUUUAUGUCCUCUUUAUCGUAAUCGCUCAUAUUAUUGUCAUUGACAUUGUCACACUCAUUAUUGUGCAUUACUAUUAAUACUAUAAUUUGCUUUUAUAUUCCACCACAAAUCACAUCAUACUUUUUACCCGAUAUCUUAAAAUUCCUUCAUAAAAGCGAUAUCCGGUAUUAGGAAAUUUGAGAUAAUCGUGCCCUAACUUACUGGGUUUCGAUUUUUCUCAUUUAACCUAAGUAACGGGAUACUCUUUUAAAUCGCUAUACGAGUUUUAGAAAAAUGCUUAUUCUCGGAGACACGAAUCGUCGUGCCCUAACUUACCGGGUAUGACAUUUUUGUCACCUUGAAAGAAGAAUUUGUUUUAAAGGCAAUAUUCGGUAUUUGAAGAAUUUGAGAAACGUGCCCUAACUUACUAGGCUUCGACUUCUCUUGUUUACUCUAAAUAACCGAAUACCCUUUUUAUAAGUUAAAAUACAUCGAUUUUAUAUAAAAAGCAAGCUCAUUCUCAGAAAUUCGAGAUGUCGUAUCCUAACUCACUGGAUAUGAUGUAUCAUUGCCUCGAGACGAGAGUGUCUUUAACGUUUUAAUGUUUAUUUUAUAAAAAAGGGAUCGUAUAUCAAAGUCUUUCAAGUUCUCAAUUUUCGACAAUUAAGACACUAAUUAAUCAACUAGGUACCAAUUUUGGGCGUAUCGAGGGUGCUAAUCCUUCCUCGUGCGUAACCGACUCCCGAACCUGUUUUCUUGAUUUGCGUAGACUAAAAUUGUUGUUUAAAUAAAUCAAGCUAUUUAUUAAAAACAGCCAUUUUAACGAGGUGACCCAAUCACACCUAGUCAAAAAGGAUCGGUGGCGACUCUCGUUCUUUUAUUUUUAAAAUCCAAGUCGAUUCCCGUUUUUCAAAAAAAUGGUUACGACACCAUUGAAGACUGAUUUUUUAACAUCCUCUUUUGAAAGAGAAAAGCUUUCAUAAGCAUGAUGACUUCCGUUAACUCUUUUAUGUUUAAGAGUCCUUUUCCCCAAUAACAAAUCUUUUCAAGAUAGAGAUGGUGUCGAGGUAGAGUCUGCAAGCAUCACAUCUUUUGGAUUUAUCUCCGAUUCCUUGAAUCGGACCUUCUUUGUAUUUGGAUCUUCAGAAGGAUUAUCGCCUUCACCAUUCUUAUUUCAAGAAAAAUUCGAAGUAGUCGAGAGUAUUUUUUUCGUUAAGUCACAUUAAUUAUUAGAUUUUGAUCAUUGAAAGAUGACAUUUUUACUUUUUGAAACAAAUAAAUAUUCUAAUAUGAAAUGGUUGGUUCAUUAAUUUUAUAAAUUAUUAUGUUAAUAUUAAUUCUAUAUUUUAAUAUUUCUAAUAUUGCAUUAAUUAUUUAAAAUACAUAUUAUGAAAGGAAUCAUGUAGAAAGAAUGAAAUUUAGAGCCGCAUAAAUAUAGGUGAAUAUACUGGAAUUUGAUCAAAUUAGUCUUUCUACUAUUAAAUGUGUAAUUUAAUCAUUUUAUUAAUAAAAAAAAUCAAAUUAGACCAAAUUAGAAUAGGGUUAACAUUUAUUAUUUAAAAAAUGAAAUAAAAAUUAUUUUUUCAACUCCAAAAAGAAUUAUUAUGUCUGCAGAAUAAUAAAAUGUUUUCAAAGUAUAACUAUAUUAACUAAUAAACAUUAACUCUACCCUAUAAUAAAUUAAUUCAUUUAAUAAUAAUAAAACUUACCAGAUAUAUUCACCUAUAUAUAUAAUUGCUGUCCUUGAAGAUUUGAUUAUUUAUUUUGCUGUAAAAAAAGAAAGAGGAAAAGGGAUGGUAUUUUGUUAAAAGUGAUGCAAGAUCCUUAUGCUUUGAACACGGCUAGUCUUCUCCUCAAUUAUUUUAUUAUUAUAUUGCUUCAAUUAUAGCUUAGGAUAUCCUUUUGCUUUCUUUGGCCUCCUUCCCAUUGCUUUUAAUUUUUUUUUUUAAAAUUAAUUAAUUUACUGCCAAUUCCCAUUGCUUAGUUUUGCUUUUGGUUGGCCUCCGUCUUUAAUUACACGUUGUUUCUUCAAUUAAUGUCUUCCUUUUUUGUAUUUGUCGAUAAACUUAUGAGUUGAGGGACCUCAUCGCCACUAAUUGGGUCCUAUAUCAAUGAUUUAUGUAUAUUUAAUUAUAUUUCAUAUUUUGUAUAAUAGUAUAAAUAUCAAUAUAAAACAAGGUAUUAAACAUGUGGCAAUUAAAUUUUAAUAGCGAUAACAAAGAUCAAGAUCUUGAAAUCUCAUUAUUUGUAUUUACAUAUGUAUAGUGUAGGUUUUCAAAUCACAUUUUAUUUUGAUUUCAAGUCUCAUCAUAUUCACACUCUGUCCAUAUUGAUUUUAACCUAUAUAUUUUUACAUUAUAAUAGUUUAACUCUUGUCAUAAUUAUAUAAAUUUGAUGUGUCGUUGAAAGAAUAAAAAAUAACUUAUCCGUGUGGAAUAUCAAAAAUAAUAGUAUAAAGGAAGUAGGGUAAUGAACCUUUUUUGAGAACCUCGAUAAUCUUUGGCUAAAUGAAUUUAGUGGUUCAGAAUAGAAUUUUAUUGAAAAAUAAAAGGAACAAAAUGGCUAGAACCUUAAAGAAAUGAGUUUUUUUUUUUUACAGAAAAGAUGAUUGAAUAUUUAUGUCACUCCAUCCUCUAUUUAUAGUACAUGUAAAACUUAGUUUGUUCCUAUUUAAUCCCUAAAAAAUAAAUGAAGAUAAAAGCUGAAAUUAAAUCUAAAUAAUAAUCCUAAUAAAAUUCAAAUUUAAAUAGAGUCUUAUGUUUAUAAAUCUCUUCUUUGAAUUUUUGUCCCCAAAUCUUUCACACUUUGUAUUUUAGGCACCACUUCUUUCCUAUUUCGCAUGUUGACUCAUUUUGUCUUUAAAUUCAUGCUUUUCACCCUCAAAUUUCCUUUUGCCUUCAAUUUAGUCCCUACAAGUUAAGAAACCAUAAAAAGUCUAAAUUAGUAGGAUCAUACUCAAAAUAUAUAUGUAAUUAACACAUAAAAAUAUGGCAGUUUAAAGUACUAUCAAGAUUAUACUUGUAAUUCUUUAAUUGUCUAUUUGUACUUUGUAAUAAUUUAAUUGUCGUACCGAAUUAUAAUUUAAUUUUGUUUUACAUUGUAGUAUUGAUUCUAAUUAGAUUUGUAGUUAUAUGAAAAUUGCCUUUAUGAUUGAAAUGUGUAAUUUCUGCAAACAUUUUUCCAUUAAAUAAUUUUAACCUGGCUAACAUAUAGACAUUGUUUUUUUUUUCUGUUUAAGAAGGUAAAAUGUCCUCAAAUUUUUUUUUUUAAAAAUUAACCUCCUCCUUCUUUUAGGGCCAUUUUCUUUUCAAGGUUUUGCCCAUUUUUAAUCUCUAUACAUUCAAUAAUUCUCCCUAGUUUUCAAUGUUUAUUCUUUUUCUAACCCCUUUUUUUCCCUGAACUUUGUUGUGCAAUUUAAAGUCUUCCUUUGGGUAAAUUAUAAAGAUGGUUACCCAAUUUUGGUUAAAUUUAUUAUUUUCACUAAAUUAUAAAAAGUUGUAUUUCAGUCACUAACAAUAUCAAGUUAUAAUGUUUUAACUACUCGUCCGUUAACAGUCGUUACAUCCUUAAUAGAAAAUGAUGUGGCAUGUUAACUCAAGGGUUAAUAUUUAAUUUAACCUUUGAACUAUAGUUAAAACAUUCAACUUGAUUCUUCUGCAACUUUUUUAACAAUAAUUCUAAAAAAAAUCAUUAAAAACUCUAAAAAAUAAAAAAAUCAAAAAAAUUAAUUAUUGUUUGAAACUAUAAAUUAAUAUAUUUUUGUAACUUUUAUAUAUAGGUUAAGUUUCCAAAAUUAUAAAAAAAUCAAAAUAUCAAAAAAAUUCUUUAAAAUAAUAUGAAAUUUCAUUAUUUAUUUUAUUGAAAUUAUAAAAAAUUAUUUUUCAAAAAUUACAAUUAUGUAAAAAAUUAAAUUUCAUAAAUUUCUAAAUAUAUAUUUAUUCAUAUAUAAGUGUUACAAAUUUGAUAAAUUAUAUUAGAAAUCCUAUCUCAGUCAUCUGUAUGUGAAAAUCACAAAUUUAAAACAUGAGUUUGUGUUUAAAAAUGAAAUUUAAUAAAUAAUGAAACAGAUAAUUUAAAAAUAAUUAUAUUAUUUACAUUAAUUAUAAAUUUAUUUAUUAUUUGAACCAUUAAUUAAGAUACUAAAAUAAAUAUUUAUUAAUUAACAAUUACAUAUAUCAUGGUUUCAGUGUAAAGAAUAAAACUAUUGUUAAUAUGCUGAUGAAAUGACCUUUUUGAUAUAAUAUAUUUCAAAAAAUCUAAUAUGCUUUUUAAAAGAGUAAGAUAGUGUUUGAAAAGCCACUUAGUAUUUGGAUUUGAUUGUAAUUUUAUCACUCAACUUUUAGAACAUUUUCAUUUUAGUCAUCCAAGGGUUAAAUUCUUAAUGCGGUUGACUAUGUACACAAAAUCAUGUUUAUAUUUUCAUUUUUGUCAUCUAACUUUUAGGUCGCUUUCAUUUUGGUCACCGAAAAAAUAAUUGAUUUUGAUGAUACUAUCAAGGGAUAAAAAAUUGGUUGACACUUUUAAAGGAUAAAUUUGUUUCAACAAUUUACUUUUAUUGAUUUUGAUGUUUUGAAAUUUAAAUUUUUAAUAUUGAAAAAAAUAGAACUUUCGAAAAUGGGGUAAACAAAUACAAUUUGACAAUUUUUUAAUGUAUUAUUUUAGUUUCUAUUUUUUUUUUCACUUUAAUCCUUAAUAUUAUUUUUACCCUAAUCAAUACUAAAAAAUUAUCUUUUUAGGAGACCAAAAUGAAAGUGUAAACAUGAUGUGACAUAUAUAGUCAAUAGUCGUUAGAGAUUUAAUGCUUGGGUGACUAAAAUAAAAAUACCUUAAAAGUUAGAUGAUGAAAUUGCAAUAAUUUCUUUUGGAUAACCAAAAUAAAAGUGUCUUAAAAGUUAAGAGACUAUCUAGGUAGUUUACUCAUAUAAUUAUAUACAAAUAUAAGCUUUAAAAGUAUUAAUUACAUUUAAUAACUUAAUUUAAUAAUUAUACUUUAAUUUUAAAUGUAAUUAUAAAAAUUAAAAUAUUUAAGAAAAAAAGUUUAAAAAUUAAAUUUAAAAUAAUAAAAUAUUGUACCAAUCAAUACAGAUUGGUAAGAACCAAUAUAAGUCCGUAUUAAUCAAAACAAGUGGAAACACAUCCAAAUAUUAAUCAUAAUGGAACCUAGACUGCUUCAUUUUGAUUGAAGAGAAAAAAGAUACAUAUCAAGUGUGUUUCCCUGUACCUUUUAUGUACCAGUUUAUGUUUUUGUUCUUUUAAUAAGAUUUGUUUGGCUUAUAAAAAAUUAUUUUUAUUAAAAUAAAAUAAAAUAAAAUAAAUGAGAUCAAAAUUAGCUAAGUUUUGGUAUUGAGCAUUUAAUAAUUUGUACCUAUAUUCUUGAAGAAACAAUUUGUACCUAUACGAUUUCAUAAAAUUAGUUCAAAUUAUAAUCAAAAUUUAGUGUAACUUAUUCGAAAUUAAAUAUAUUGCUAAUUGAUAUAAUUGAGAAUGAUUAUACGGUUGAUACUAGUUUUUUUAAACUUCGUUUAAUACAUAAUUUAUGCAAGCAAGACUGACAACUUAAAUUUUGGCAUGUCUCACGAGAGCAUAAUAGACCAAUGGAUUGCAUGACCAAAGUUGUUCCUAAUGAACUUAACAGAUUAUCAAAAUUUGAAAACCCAGUUGAUCAUGCUCAAUUUUUGCUUGAAGAAAAUGCUCACCGAACAAUGAUUAAUAUAGAAUCCUAUCAGUCUUAUUAUAGCUAAUUUUUUAAACUUGUUCCUUCAAAAAAGAAGUUCACAAAAUUUAGAUACAACUGUUACUAAACUUUAUAGGAAAACAAAACAUCUGUAUAAAUAUUUAUCAAAGACAUUGCUAGAAAGCAAAGCUCAUAUUUAUUUUAGUCAAAUUAACAACUGCCUCGUCAUCGAACUCGUUCCAUAUCCUUCAGUACUUUGAUCUUCUUUAACUUUAUAACAAUCUCUUUCAUAUGAAGCUUCUCAUUUGGUAACUCUACACAAUAUUCUAAGCCAACUUCCAAAAUGGAUAAGGCACAAUCCUUGACUUUUAAAUGUUCCCUUUCAAUGUUGUUCAACAACUUGGGAUCUAUAACUUGAUUUAGCGAAGAUGAUAUGGACUCUAUCACCAAACUGUUCAAGCUUCUUCCUCCUACAAACAUAUCAUCUAUGGGCUUUUUUCUUGUGACGAUUUCCAUCAAAAGAAUACCAAAACUAUACACAAUUCCUUCGGUUCCAUAUUCUGUGUAUGAAUUUCAAACAACAUUAUAAGCAUUCAAAGAUAUCUUGAUAAUGAAAAAUUCCUAUAAAAUAUCUGAAAGAUUAUAUGCUUGCUUGUUAUAACUAAAUUGGGAUUUAAUCUAGUUGCUUCUUUAAAAAGUCACAUUCAAUGUGUUUGAAACUCAAAUGUUAACAGAUACCAUAUGCUACACUUACAUUGAAAAUGGAAAAAUAAACAUGGAGUUUGAUUAGAAGUAUCAUCUGAUGCCAUAUAUCCAAAUGUUGCCAUUGUCAUGGUUUGUAUCAUUGAAACAUCUUCACAUAAGAGUUUGGCGAUGCCAAAAUCACUCAAAUGCGCAACCAUAUCUCCAUCUAAUAAAACGUUGUUGGGUUUUAAAUCACACUGAACCACGGGUGUUGCAUUACCAUGAUGGAGAUAUUCCAAUGCAGAUGCAACAUCUAUCAUUAUGUUCAACCUUUGUAGGAUAUCUAAAUAUUGGUUGUUGGAAUAUAACCAUUUAUCAAGAGUCCCAUUAGGCAUGAACUCAAGCACCAAGGCUUUGAAAUUAAGAUCAUUCGAGCAACUGCUUAUUACUUUGACAAAAUUUCUGUGACGAGUGUUAAGGAGAACAUCACAUUCAACAUCAAAGCUCUUAAAAGCUCCUUCUAACUCUAACUUGAAGACCUUUACCGCAAUUACCAUCCCAUCCUGGAGAGUCUCUUGGAAUACUGAACCAUAACUUCCAUUACCAAGCAACCUACUAUCAUUGAAUCCGUCAGUAGCUGGACGAAGCUCGUGGUAUGAAAACCGUCUCCACGUUCCUAAAGGUAUCAUGUCUUCUUGAGUUGGUAAUUUGUCUUUCCUCCUCCUGUUUUGCAAGAUAAUGGUUAUCAGAGCCACAACCAAAAUUGUGGAGGCAAUUGGCGGAGCUACAUAUAUUAUGAGUUUCAGCUUAGUUUUUGCCUUGGAAUUUCUAAUAGGUCUAGUUUUGCAGUUUGGAAUAUGGAAGUCGAGUUGCACCACACAAGGCUUCAUUACCCUUAAAUGAUUCAAUUGUGUAGUUUUCAAAUGGUCCUCAUUCAGGAAUUUCUCCUUCAAGUCCAUUAAAAGAGACAUUGAAAUAUUUGAGAUAACGGAGUUUCUCUAAGGAUUUGGGAAUCUCUCUAGAUAAAAUAUUUCUUGACAAGUCCAAGAAUUCCAAACUCAAUAAUUCAUCAAAAGACUCAAGAAUAGAACCCAUGAUUCUAUUAUUGGAUAAGGAAAAAUGAGUGAGGUCCUUAGAUCUACAACUCCAGUUGGGAUAUCACAUGAGAACUGAUUGUUCGACAAAUCCAAACUAGUCAAAACUUUUCAUUUUCCAAUGUCAAUUGACAGUGGACCACUCAAAGAAUUUGAAGACAAGUAUAGGAUGAGGAGAUAGUUAAGCCUUGUCAACGUGUAAGGUAUUGAGGAAGAAAAUAUAUUAGAGUCUAGAAAUAGGUUCCUUAAUGAAGUGAGAUCACCUAAGCAAGCAGGUAUUGGUCCAGACAAUUGGUUAUUGGUCAAGAACAAGAAAGCCAAUUUGUCUAGAUGACAUAACUCAAAUGGGAUGGACCCCUGUAACUUAUUGUCCUCAAGAGAAAGACUUUGCAACUCUUCCAAUCCUCCAAUUGUAGUAGGAAUCCGUCCUCUCAAUUUAUUGCCUCCUAGCUCAAUAUUUAUCAAGUGAAUUAAGUUUCCAAUUUCACUGGGGAUGCUACCCCUGAUGUUGCAUGAAUAAGCAGAGAACUCGGCAAGAGAACUAAAGAGAUUUCCUACCACUCUUGGAAGUUCACCACUAGUAAAUGGGUUGGCACUGAAAAGUAAGUUCUCCAAGCCUUUACAGUUUGUCAAAGAAAAGAGAAAGCUCAUUCCCGCGGAAGUUAAAUUAUUAUUCACCAGGGUUGAGAAACUUUAAAUUUCUUAGAUUGCCCAGAUUAUCACGAAUGGACCUUGAAAAGUGAUUAUUAGACAUGUCAAUAUUAGUAAGCCGAGAGGCAUUGGAAAUAUAGAUUGGGAUCGAGCCGACAAGGUUAUUGCUACCAAGAUAUAAUUCCUCCAUGGUUGGAAGGAAAAGGCCCAUGUUUGAUGGAAGAUGGUCAGAGAGUUGCCAUUAUUUAGCCAUGUUAGGCCAACAGUAAUCUCUCACAAAAGGAAAUUAUAGGGUUCCUUAAAUCAAGAAUUAAAAACGUUUCAUUUUGUCAUUUUGCCCUGACGCAUGAAUGAAUAUUAGUAGAGAAAGUCCACAAUAGUGAACAAAAUUUAAAUACAUCAAGAAAAGCCACAUAAACAUAAAUUGUUUUUCUUUUUUUUUAAAAGGGAAACAGAUAAAAAAAAUGUCGGAUAAUGUGAGGUGCUUACUUCGCUGAUAAUCAUUGUUAAAAGUUCAAAACCCAAACAAACGGCAUAUAACGGGAAAUGAUCUCCCCUAUCGUUCUUCUCUAUAACUUUCUGCAAAAAACACAGAAUAAUAAUUUUACGUGCAACCCAAGGAAAUUGGAAAUAUAAAAACAUUUGAAGCAUAAGUUGAAGAAACAAUAGAUUUACCUGCUAACACCAAUCUCUUGCCUAGAUUUUUGUCUUAGUUUCAUGUGAAUUUCACAAAAUCAAGAAACAAACAAAUAUAAAUAUAAAUUACCUUGAAAAUCCUUUUAGCAAUAUCAUAAUACAAGCCGUAUUUAGACCACCCUCCUGUAAAAAGCACGCCAUUAACCAAUUCAAGCUUCUGCAAUACGAAGGUGGAGAAGAGACUUAGCAAGGUGACAGGCUUUUGGCAAAGGAAGGCAACAACUAUGCUAAAGCAGGUAUCAUAGCAUCAUAAAACUGUCUAAUCGUAGCAAAUCAAAGCAAGGAAAUGAAAGGCAUAUGCAUAUGCAAUCAACCAAGCAAUCAAAAUAUCAUUUCAAAUAUUAAGGUACUAAAGAAUAUCCACAAAAAUGCAACUAGGCUAAAAUUCGAUCCUUUGCAUAGACAGUAAGGAGAUUGCAACAACUGGUAGUAUCCUAAGUUUAUGAUUUAACAAAAACCAGAGAAUUUUUGUGUACAUUUAAUAAAGAGGAAAAACUUAUUAUGAAACAAAAUAUUAAAAAUUCACAGUAUCAAAUUUUACCUAACAAAAGGAAAAGAUUUUUCAUGACCAGAUAAGUUAUUUAAAAUUCUAAAUCAGGAAUUUUUCUGUCCAAAAAUAGAUUUACCAAAAAAAAUAGACAGUCUAUUUUUUUUAUCCGAAUUUAAAAAAACACACACACCCCCAAAUAUUCAAAGUCAAAUUCAGCAUUUAUGCAAGGAAAUGAACAUCAUGAUUAUUACCUGGAAAAGAAUCUUUUCCGGCUCAUUAUAAAUAAGAGGAAUGACUCGAGCCCCAGCCGCUUCCACGAACUUCACGUACGACGCAGCUAUGUAGGAAGCGUUAGUAUCAUUGUUCAGCCUCCCCGACGCGGCGUCUCCCGGAUGACUCAGUAUCCCAAUCACAGGCCGAUAAUAUAGCUUCGGGUCAGCAUUCGCGCAACUCGAAAAGGAAAUUAGUGAAUCAUCGGCCGAGCCGUCGCCGCGUUGACUCGGGAGGAGGAGUCCAGUUGAGGUUUGAGCUUUAGCAAGGGAGAGUUCUUUGGUGAGGCAGAGGAGCAUGGGGACAAAAAAGUAAUUCCACAUGUCCGGAGAGGAGGAGGAGGAACAAGAAGAGGAAGGGGAAGGCACGGUGUCGUUUGCAGGAUCGGAGGAUGAAGGGUUAGAGCCAAACAAGGAGGGCAUUUUGGAGAACUGACAUAUAAACAGAACGAAAGAAAAACAAAGGAAAAGUUAAAAAUUGAAAUCAAGUCCUUAAAAAAUUUGGAAGGAAACUGUGCAGCUGAAAAAUAAAAUUGUUGGUAAUUACAAUCAAUUUCAUCUAAUAAUACAUUUAUUAUUUAUUAUAAAACAACUCAAAAUUUGCCGCGUAAUAUAAUAUUUGUCACUUAAACUAGUCUUUUUUUACUAAUUUGGUAAUUAAUUUUUUUUGUCUAAUUUAUUAUCUAAAAUUGACAUUUUUUUCUUAAUUCGGUAUUUUAACUUAAUAUUUUUCUUAAUUUAGUACUUAAUCUUUUUUUUCUAUUUGGUAUCCGAAUUUGAUUCUUUUUUUUAAUUCGGUAUCUAAUCUAAUUUUUUUGUUCAAUUUGGUACAUGGACUUGUAAAAUGUUUUACAAUAUACUAACAAUGUUAUACUUUUACAAGUUUAUAAAAAUAAUUAAUGUAUGAUCGACAUGUGGUAGAUAAUAUGAUAUUUUUUUUAAAAAAGUUUAAAUUACUUUUCAUUUUAUUUAUUUAUUUUACUAAUUUAAAAAUAAUGGAUUUCUUUUAUUUUGAGUUUUUAAAACUCUUGUUUUCUUGUUCAAUAUUAAUUCAUUAAGCAUAAUUCAAUGCCUAAUUUUACUAAUACUGACGAUAUUUUUGUAGCACAGCACAAAAUUUAACACUAUUAGUGUUUUGGGUAAAUUGUAUAACAUUUAAUAAGUUUAGGUUCCAAAUUAGAAAAACUGACAAAUUCAAGUACCAAUUUAGGCAAAAAAAAUUAAAUACCAAAUUAAAAAAAAAAAUCAAAUUGAGAUACACAAUUAGAAGUUACUUUCUUUUUCAUACUUUCAUAGUUAGUGUUUUUUUUUUUUAAUAUUUAUCUUUUUAAAUAUUUUAUUAUAUCUCUAUAAUAUCAUUUGUGAACUUUUACCAUAAUUAUAAAAUCUAAAAAUUUAGUAAUAAUUUACAAAAGAUUUUCUCAUUAUUUAUUAGACUUAUUUUUGAACAGACUUAUUUAUUAAACUUAAUUAAAUAAUAAGUUGUCUAAUAUUUUUUAGCUAGGUAUCUAAUUUUUUUAACCAAAUAUUUGAAGUACCAUUAUGGACCGCAUGUAGUAUUUUUAAUUAUAAAAAAAAUUAUAUUUAAUAUUAUAUUUCCUCUCUUCUCAUAUUCAUAUUCUUCCAUUCCUAUUCCUUCAUUUUCAUCCCUUUUCUCAUUCAUCUUCAUUCAUGCAGGUUGAAGGUUUUCUUUUUCUCGUUAAGCAAAUGACAUGAAAUUUGGGUUUUUAUUUUGAUGGAGGAGAACCGUUUCUGGGUUGAAAACUGUGAAUUUUUGGACUUCUAAACUUAAAAAACCUAUGGCUACGUUUUGACAUUACCAUUUGUGGAGGAGGUGUUGAAGCAAAAAUCUUUUAUAAAAAAAUGAUAGGGACUUUGAUAUUUUUCAAAUGAGUCGUUAUUUUUUUUAAUUGUAAAAAAAAAAGAAAAUUGUGUUAAUCUUUUUAAACAUCGUUUAAUACAUGAUUUAUGUAAAAAAGACUAACAACUUAAGUUUAGAUAUGUCUCACAAAAACAUAAUAGACUAUGCAUGGCCAAAAUUGUACCUAGUGAUUUUCAUCUGUUUCUCUAAACUUUUCUUUAAGAACCCUUGUUCUUUUUGGUUAGAGGAACUACUCCCAAGUUCGAACCAUUAUCAACUCAUCCAGCUUUUAGGUCUUCUAAAGUAUCCUUUACAAUAGCCAGGCCCAUAUCCCUUACAUCCUUCAAAGCCUUUUCCAAUCCUUUAUCCGCUUCAACUGCCGUUCCCUUUUUCAAUCCUUUGGAAACAUGCUCUGACUUAGUCUCAUUGAUUACCAAUUCCAAUAUUUGCUGACAUUCAUUAAUAUUGUUCCCGUUUUCAAUAUCGGUAUCCAUUAAUUCUCCAGACUCGACGUUUUCUCUUCCCUCCAAAGGAACCUCCGGCCUUGAUUGCGCCACCGAUUUAGAUUCCAAAAUGCUAUCUUCUUCAAUCUUCUUCCAUCUAGCCUUACAGAUAAAAUUGUCAUCUUUCAUCUCUGUCAGACCCCUUUCCCUAACUCUGAUCGGGAAGAAAUCAUCACCAACAACCAAGCUACUAAUUCAUCUACCAUGUUCGAUUGAGUUAAAGAUAUCAGUAGCUCUAUUUUUUGGAAAUUAUGGACUUUUGUUAAAUUUUCACUAAUAGACACCAACUUCCCCCAUAACCCAGCAACUCGACUAAAUGUUUCAUAGUUCCAACAAUGCAAUGGAACUCCUGAUACUUCGAUCCAAGUCAGCCUCUCCUUUAUCUUCAAAUUCUCCGACCAUGGCUCAAUUUUAAUGAAAUUUUCUUUCAAAUAUGACCAUUCAGUUUACCUUAACAGAUCCAUCAGUUCUUCAUCCGGUAUGUCAACCAAAAAUGUCUCCCUUGAAUCCUUCUAACAAUUAUUUCCCCAAGACCAAAUUUUGCUAUUCGAUCAUUGAGACUUUUUGAGUCACAUACCGAAUUCGAUUCGCACACCAGACAUUUCUGUAAUUUCCAUAACAUUUCAUCCUCAACAUGACUUUGCACUAUUCUUUUCUCAGUAUUCAUAACUCCUCCUGCAUUUUUUUCGAGACUUUCUUCAUUCUUAGCAUCAUGAACAGUCAGGAAAAUGAAACAGUUAGAGGUGACUUUUGGGAGUCAAACUUGGAAUUAGAAGAAGAACUGAACCAGAUGAUUCUUCGCAGGAAAAAAAAAGAAAGGCUUGAACAAGAAGAUACGGUCAAUGCAUGAAAUUCAAAACAGUUUCUUAAUGUCCAAGGAGAGAAAGAAGAGAGACAGAGGCCUGAAUAAGGAAAAAGGAAGGAAGUAUCGUAAGGAUAAUGAGAGGGUUGUAAAUUUAUCCCUUUCAGAUUCAGAUUUAAGUAACAGAAUGAGGGUACUUCUUAGGGAAGCGAAUAAUACUUGGGCAAUUGGAAAGAAAUUGGGGUUCAGUGUGUAAAGUGAUGAAGAAGAUGUCAUCGAAGAAAUUAUGAGAGCAGAGCUUCAGUAACUUUGUUUUUGAAGUUUCUGCAAGACAGGUGAUCUGGCUACAGAGGUAAAAUCGGGAGUAGUAAAAUCGUUCAGUAUUUGGGGUGUGUUAAGGAAGGUGAUUUAGGAGAUAUUUGGUUUUUAUGGUGCAUCAAAGGAGGUUCAAGACUGUAAAAUUUAUGUAAUGUCGAUUGAAUAGAGAGUAUAUCUGGUAAAUGUAAUGGAUGAUUGUACAGUAAUUUGGAAGUUUCAGAGCUGUCAAGAAGAGUGUUAGGGAUUGAUUUGUCAAAGCUACUUUGGGAUGUUUCAUGGAAUGGUAAGUGUUAUCUUGUUGUGGGAUUCAUAAGGAUUUUUUUUGUUUGGAAAAAUUAUAAAGAGGAGAUCUGUGAAAAUUUAAAAGAAAAAGGGGUUUUAAUGUUGUAAAGUGGGUUAUUUUUAUAUGUAUAAUGCUCGAUAUGAUGGUGUUUUUGUUUUGCUAGAGACUUUUUUGGUGAUUUUGUCUGAAUAGGUGGUGGAUUGUCUUAGUUAUUUCAAAGUUGAUGAUUCAUUUUCCUUGGUGUUUCUUCUUGGAUGUUUUAUGUUCAAUAUUUGUGGAUUUGCUGACGAGGAUUGAGGUGGAGUUAGCCGGUGAUUUGUUGUGUGGGUGGAGGAUCAAGGUGGACUCGUGUAUUGUUUAAGAUAUUUCUUCUUGGGUUGGUUUCAAUUCAAUAUAGCAGGGGCUGGUUGGAGUGUGUUUAUGGCUUGUGGAGGAGGGUGGUGGGUAGUUAAGGGGAUGGUUUCGGUUUAUUUUCUGGAUGGUGGUACAGAGGAGGUCCUGGAAAGGAUGAUUCUACUGGCAAUUAUAAUGGUUGCAGUGAAGGUUUGAUCUGAUUCUGAAGGGGAGUUGUUCGUGAUUUUUGAAGGAUGCUGUGGCAAGAGGAUGAGUGUCAAUUUGAUGUCACUUAUCAUGGUAAAAUUGGAAUAGCGGUUGACUUGGCUAAUGCAGAUUUGAAGCUUGUUGUUAACUUUUUUUUUUUUUUUUUAUUCUGUUGUUGCGUUCUAUUUUGGCUUGAUUGGCUGCUGUUUUAUCUUAUUUGAUCUGGUAUGGGUUGGGUGAUUCCAGCUCUUUUUAUUGUAAUCAAUUGACUGAGCAAAAAAAAAAACAGUUAUUAACUUUUAAAUACCCAACUGAUCAUCCUCAAUCUUUGUUUAAAGAAAAUACUCAUCGAACAAUAAUUAAUAUAGAUUCCCAUUAUCUUUAUUAUAGCUAAUUCUUCUUUUUUUAAAAAAAAAAAUCACAAUGCAAAAAUAACUAUUAAUAAACUUCAUAGGAAACAAAGCAUAUGUAUACAUAUUUAUCAAAGACAUUGCUAGAAAACAAAGUUUGUGCUUAAUUAUUUUAGUCAAAUUAACAACUACCUCUUCAUCGAACUCAUUCCAUAUCCCUUAAUAACUUCACUUUGAUCUUCUUUAACUUUGAAACAAUCUCUUUCAUAUGAAAACUCUCAUUUGGUAACUCUACACAACAUUCUAAGCUAAGUUGCAAAAUGGACAAGGCACAAUUCUUGACUUUUAAAUGUUCCCUUCCAAUGGUGCUCAACAACUUGGGAUCUACAACUUGAUUUAGUGAAGAUGAUAUCGAUUCUAUCACCCAACUCUUCAAGCUUCUUUCUCCUGCAAACGUUUCAUCUGUGGGCUUUUUUCUUGUGAUGAUUUCCAUCAAAAGAAUACCAAAGCUAUACACAUCACCUUUUGUCGAAACAAUUCCUUCGACUCCAUAUUCUGUGUAUGAAUUUCAAACAACAUUAUGAAUAUUCAAAGAUAUAUUGAUAAUGAAAAAUUUCUAUAAAAUAUCUGAAACAUUAUAUGCUUGCCUGUUAUAAAAGAUAUCUAGUUGCUUCUCAAAAAAGUCACAUUCAAUAUUUGAAACUCAAAAUGUUAUCAGAUAUGAUCCCUUUUUUUUAUGCAAAUGCUACACUUACAUUAGAAAUGGAAAAAUAAACAUGGAGUUUGAUUAGAACUAUCACCUGGUGCCAUAUAUCCAAAUCUUGCCAUUGUCAUGGUUUGUCUCAUUGAAACCUCUUCACAUAAGAGUUUCGCGAUGCCAAAAUCACUCAAAUGCGCAACCAUAUCUUCAUCUAAUAGAACAUUGUUGGGUUUUAAAUCACAGUGAACCACGGGUGUUGCAUUGCCGUGAUGGAGAUAUUCCAAUGCAGAUGCAACAUCUAUCACUAUGUUCAACCUUUGUAGGAUAUCCAAAUAUUGGCUGUUGGAAUACAACCAUUUAUCAAGACUCCCAUUAGGCAUGAACUCUAGCACCAAGGCUUUGAAAUUAAGAUCAUUAGAGCAACUGCUUAUUACUUUGACUAAAUUUCUGUGACGAGUGUUGCGGAGAACAUCACAUUCAACAUCAAAGCUCUUAAAAGCUCCUUCUAACUCUAACUUAAAGACUUUUAC